rnacentral:lncRNA from 1 species
UUGGAUUCUCUUGCUCUGCAGCUCUGCUGGGGAUGUCUAACAUUUCCUUAUCACUGCGAGGACUUUCUUUUUCAGAUCCAUUCCCCAAUUCCUUUUUCAUAAAAUCGUUUUCUCUUUCUUUUACUUUCUCCUUUUCUCUCAAAAGAUCUAUCCUCUCCUUUUCCAACCUCUCAGCUUCUCUCUCUUCCCGCAUUGGCUCUUUGUUUUCACUAAUGCUAUUGCUGCACAACUGCAAAGUGUUUCGCCAGUCAUUGCUUUCUUUAUCCCUUUCUCCCCAGUCCCUUUGUUUUACCUCUUUCCUUUUCAUAUCUCUCUCUUUCAACUUAUCCUUCCCUUUAAAAUCAACCUUGUUCUCUGCAACAGCCUCACAUGCUUCAGCAUACUCCAUCUCCUCCACAUUUGUGGAUUCCUUUAUGCCCUCAACUGGGCCAUGCAAAUUGGAUCGUGAUGCUUUCCAUGGAUCCACAUUCCCUCCAGAGGCAUCAGAUACCUUUUGCCCCCGUGUUGUUAAUUUGCAUUUUUCCAGUUCGGAUGGUUGCUUGCCCCACCAUUUAUGUCAGCUCUGUGUUCUGGAUAUGUUUCCCUUUCAUGCUUGGUUGCUUUAUUGUCAUCUCCUCUGCUGUCAAACUUCACAUCCUUAUCAAGCCUACUGCCUAUAUGUAACUCCCUUUGCUCAACAUUACUUUCACGGUUCUCAAAUUUAGGGUCCUUAGUUCCAUCCUUGGUAUCUCAAAAUUCCAACCUGCUUUCAAAACCUGAAGGGUGAUCCGAAUAAAAGUCAUUUGAAGAUGAUGGCACUCAGUACAUUGGAAGCAAAGGUGAUCUUCUAUCUGCAUCAUGAGAUUCAGUCCCAGGAAGCUUAGGCAUCCAAGCACCUGCCCUAUGUCAUAAUGACUAUGGUAAUCACCCAAGGUUGAAGACUCCAGUCUACCCAUCACACCAGGGACUGUGCUGGAAUCCUCAUGCUGGAACUUUGGAGCAGAGCACUUCCAUGACUACCACUAAUACCACCACUUCCAUUUCCGCCCUCCUCAUGCGACCUUUUAUUAGGCAGAGCACUCAUGUUCUUGCUGUUCCAAAAAGCAAAGCUAUAAAAAUGUAAAACUUGAUAUCAUUUGCUGGUCAGCACCUGCAAAAGAAUAAAUUAAUUGGUUAAAGUUUUCCAAUUUACAAAGCACAAAAUAACUAGAUCUUCAGCCGGGGCCAAUUUGGCAAGACUUAUGAUAGCAUUCCAAAUCCAAAUGCUAUGCUAUUUGUUACCUUGCAGUAACCCGGAUGAGAAUAGCAUUUGCACAUGUUAAACACUUCUAAAAGUUUACAUUUUAAAAAAGAAGCCAGUCAAGCUUUCCUAGCUUCUCUCACAACGCAUCCUCUAAAAUACGCUACUUGCAUACCCUAGUUUUUCUUGUAAAAAAUUUUACCAAAUCGGACCUUGCAAAUAACACAAUCAUGCCGAUAGGCAAAAAGUAAGAAUAUCGUUUUGUAUAUCCUUAACAAGAAUCAGGUCAAGAAAACUGCACAGCACAAUCAACAACCGGACAACUUAAUUCUUGUGAACCCUCAAAACCAAAGUUCUAAAUACUCCCUAGGUUACAUAAAUAUUUUACAACAAUUCCAUCAACAAAUGGAAAAAAAUCACUAAAAAUAGUAAAUUGAAGAUUCAAAUGCGACAGAAAAUUCUCAACCGUACAGUCUUUUCCAGACUUCGGGAUUCAAUCUUUGUUAACCAAAUUCAAAACCUUCCCAGGUAUAAAUAGAAAAAACUCGAAUUCACAGUAAAAACUCAAAUUCAAGUACCUAUCUCUAAAAGUAACAUCGAAAUAAUCCAGAAAAGGGAAAUCAAAUUACCACAUUCAUUUAUCUUAAGAAAAAAGCCCCCCAAAAUUUUCAAAUAACAAAAGAGGAAAAAAAAUGAAAGAACAACUACAAAAAAAAAUAUAUAUAUAUAUAGGCAUUUGACACCAAAAAGCUUUCCAGCACAAAAGAAAAUUCACCUGAUACAAUCAAAACGUGCGGAACUGUGUGUUUCAUGGUGUGCGUGUGUGUGCUCCAUCCAGUGCAAAAUUCACCCAAUUAAUACAUCAGCAUAGAGUUCAGAGCAGAAAUUAACCAAAAUAAACGUGAAAUUAAUCGAAAUUUUGGGGAAUUUUUCUUGAAUUACCUCUCAGUUCUGCUGCUUUUCUUCCUCUCUCUCUCCGCCAGGGAGAAAUAAGGGAAGCGCUGAAGAGUGAGUUUUGAGACUUUGGGUUUCUGUUUCGUAUUUUUUGUUUUUGGCUCUUGCAAUCUGAGAUUUUUUUAACGUGCGGCAGAACCAGUCCAAUUGACAAUUCGCGAUUUAAUUAUAUGGCUUGAUUGGAAGGGAAAUUAUGUGGAAUUCUUUUCUCCUUGUUAAUUAGUUUAGCUUUUAAUUUAACCCGAAUAGUAAAGGACUUAUAGCGAUAAGGGGUGGCAGUAAUAUGAACUAUGUGACCCGAGUAACGAGACUAAGGCUUAUAGCUAGUCUGGGAGUUUAGGAAAGAAAAGAAAAGAACAGAAACCUUAAGUUAGAAAAGAAAAGAAAAGAAAAGAAAAGAUUAUAAUAUCUUUUUAUGUUAUUUGGGAGUUUUGAAGAAAAAGAAGAUGAAAUAACUUUCCUUUGUUUGGAAGGGAGAGGAUUGAAAAGACAAGAUUCAAUUUUAUGUAAAAACCCUUAAAUCUUAAGAUACCAUGAGAAUUUUAUUAGGUUAUAUAGUUAUAUUUUAAUCUUUUAAGGGUAAAAAUGCAUAUGGUAUAAUUCAUUUAACUCACUCCACUUUCUCACGUUUUCCACCGAUUUUGGGCAGAAAGUUUUUCUGACGUGGAAGGGAGCUGACAUCCUUCCGUUUCUUUUCAAUUCUUUCCUAUCCAAAGUCCCAAAUGUGAGAAAGAUUCAACUUUCCUUUGUAAUCUUUUCUUUUCUCACCAAAUCUGCUCUUCCAAACUAGCUGUUAGUUUGGGAGUAGACGAAGGAAGAGAAAAGAAAAGAAGAGAAAAGAUGCGUAUUUCGAUUCAGAGUUCAAUGACAGAAAAGAAAAGAAACAUCUUUCCCUUAUUUGAGAGUUGGAGAUAUGGAAAGAAAGGAUUUUAUGACAAAUACGUAUAGUUGCAAAGUCCAAAGAACAACUUUAGGAUAUAUUGAGAAUAAUAAAUUUUUGUAUCAGCUUUUAAAGGAUAAAAUUGUCAUAUUAAAAAUAAUCUUUUGGCGCCCAACAAGUUUCCGUCCUUUUCUUCCCAAUUUCGGGGGGAAAAAUUUUCACCAAUUAGAGGGAGUUCUAUUCGUUCAUUUCGUUUCUCUUUCAUCUUCGUUAAAACUCCCAAAUGAAUGAAAUGGUACAGUUUUCUUACAGGAUACUUUCUUUUUUGUCCUUUUCUCUCGAUCCAAAUGAAGCCUAAACCUCUGUAUCUAAGCUGAUUGACAAUUCUCGAUUUAAUUAUAUGGUUCAAUUGAAAAGGAAAAUACACGGAAUUUCUUUCUUCUUGUUAGUUAUUUGUUUUUAAUUUGAUCCAAAGAGAAAAGGAUGUAUAAUGACGAGGGGGUGGUAGUCAUAUGAAAUAUAGGACCAAGUAAUGAGACUAAAUCAGUAUAACUGAUUCGCUUGGCAAUUCUCAAUUUAAUUAUUAGGUUCAAUUGGAAGAGAAAAUAUGUGGUAUUUGCUUUUAGUUUGAUCCGAAUAGGAAAGGAUAUAUAAUAAUGAGAGGUGGUAGUUGUACGAAAUAUGAAAUCAAGUAAGUAAACCAAAUUAGUAGGACUGGUUUCGUUAACAAUUCUUAAUGUUCUUCUUAUGGUACAAUCUGAGGGAGACCUAUAUAGACUUUUACUUCUUGUUAAUUUGAUUAGAUUUUAAUUUGAAGAGAAAUUGAUUUAUAGUGAAGGAUUAAAUUGGUAGGAUUGGGCAUAUUGGUAAUUUUGGAUUUGUUCAUAUGGUUCAAUGUGAAAGAAAAAAUAUUUAGAAUUUUAUUCUUCUUGUUACUUAGUUUAGCAUCUUGUAGCCAAGUGGAGUGGUAGUAGUACGAAUGAUAAAACCAAGCAUUCAUAUCAAACUGGUACGAUCAAUUAUGUUGCCAAGUCUCGAGAGUUUUAUUUUUUGUUCUUGUUAUUUUUUAUAUUUUUAUUUCCCAAAAAUUCCAUUUUCAUUGAAAAUCUCUUUCACCUCUAAUAAUUGCUAAUCUUUCAAUAAUUUGUAAAAAAACUCUUUCUCUAAAACAAAGAAAUCAAGAAAAAGUUUGUGGUUCAAUUGGAAAGAAAAAUAUAAGAAAAUUUUCUUUUUUUCUAAUUUGUGUAGCUUUUAAUUUGUCCAAAACUAGGAUGUUUAUUGAAGUUUUUCUUUUAGCUUCAUUAUGAUUUUCUUUUUUGUUUAUAAGAUCUUAGCUAACUUUCUUUAAAACUCUCACACUUUGAAAAGAUUUUCAUUUACGUAUUUCAAAAUUAAAAUUAACAUAUAUUGUUAACUUUCUACAAUAAACUAAAAUAAAAGUUUUGAUAUUUUAUAUCUUCAUUUAAUGGGAUGGAUUUUUGCUUUUUAAAAACUUUGCAAGGACAAUUUUGCCAUCCUCCAAAUGCUUUUGAGAAUAUAUUGUUAUGUAGGACAAGCCUGUAUUAGAUGAUAUAGAACUUGAAAAAAAUGUUGCAGUAUUUUUUUCUUCUCUCAAGAAUUGUCCAUCCAAUUGAACUAUCAUUUUUAUGUCCUAAAAAUGCUUUUAAACAUGUCAAAAGCAAGAUUGGUCAAGAGAAAUUGGUGAUAUAACACAUACAUAAAAACAAAAAUACAAGAUAGAUAAACUCAACAAAUACAGAAAAUCAAGUAAAAUAUCUAGAUUAAUAAACUCAUUCGUAGUAUCGAUAUUGAAUUGAAUCUUCCGCUAUAGCGACUCCAAAAACUUGAAGAGAUUUUUUCUUCUCUUCAAAUUUUAAAAAUCUAAAUACCUCAUUUUCUACAAGUAUACAGAUCAUUUAUCAAGUAUAGACAAUAUUAGAUGUCGAUCCCAUAGAAAAGAUCGUCAAUUACCGUGGUUUUUGAAUUCCUUUAUUAGUUAGAUUAUCACAAAUACAAGAAAUUAAUUUUACCUACAAACAUAAAAUAAAAGUUGUAAAAAUAACAAUGGGAAGUUCCUAGGGCCAUGGAUUUCCUAACUAUUCUUACAAGUGAAAUUACUUGUUAAAUGAAUGUUGUUACCUGGGUUAGUUAUGGCAUAAUUUUCUAAAACAUGUCAAAACCCAUUUUUACCAGUGAAUCAACCAUAUUUAUAACUAUUCCAUAUCUACUUUCGUGGCUAUGAAGCUAACUAUAGUAUCAUUUACUUCUAUGAAAUUAUAUGGAGCAAGUCAUCAAAAUCACAAAAGUGUAUCUCUACUUUUGUGAGUAUCCUCUUUAUAUUUAACACUUCCUUAAACUAGUAUCAAAUCCCAAUUUUUAUUGAUAACUUAACACCUUAAAAUUAUCAUAAUUAAUAGCUAGUUAAUCAUGAUUAUAAAAGCAAAAGUGCUAGAUAACUAGUUCAAAAUAAUAGCAUCAAAUAAUCAAGUAAACAUCACCAAUAAGAUAUAAAAAGUUCAUUCAUAACUCUAGACAUAAGCUUUAAAAGCACAUAAUGGAAAUAAAGUACAAACUUGAAUAAUAAUCAAACUUAGAAUCAAUUACAAAAGGUAAAGAGUUGGAAAGGAAAAGUAACCCUUAUCACAUGAGCAUUCCUCCUCGCCUUCAUCACUCCCCAACUUCAUCCUUGUUUAGUUUCAUACAAGAAUGGAUGAACUACUAAAUCCAAACUAACUUACAUUAGCCUAAACUAAGAAAAUAUGAGAACUACAUUUUUGUGAUGUAGUCUUGACUCUCUAAAAGUUCCUUAAUGAGAAGUCUUUAAGCCUUUUUACUUGUGUUUUUCUUUUAGUGUGAACAUUUGAUAAAAGUUGGCUUCAGAAGUCAAGAAUUUCCAAUAGAAUCAAGAAGAUUUGAAGUGACAAAAGGUGUUUCUUGCUGAUGCUUGUACUCUCCUUAAUGGUAAAGCUUCUAUUUAUAAAGAAGUCUUUAAGCCCUUUUACUUGUGUUUUUCUUUUAGUGUGAAUAUUUGACAAAAGUUGGCUUCAAAAGUCAAUAAUUUCCAAUAGAAUCAAAAAGAUUUGAAGUGACAAAAGGUGUUUUUUGUUGAUGCUUGUACUCUCCUUUUAGCCACUACAAUGUCUUGUCAAUACUUAAAGCACAUGGAAAGAGUAUCUCACAAGAAACCAAGUUGCACAAGUUGUGCAAGUGGCUCAGAUAAUACAGUUGGAUAUUUAGCCUUAGAACCGACUCAUGCUGCUAAGGUUACAGGGCUAGUUGUUUUGUCGUGUUUCACGACAACUUUAGCCAACAAUCUGCCAUGUAACCCGUCCAGUAGCCAGUCUUGCCUCCUGGGUUGUUGGGCCAGUUACCUUCUCCUACAUCUCUCUUUGACAAUUUUCUCAUUUCUUUGCUUGACUUGGCAACCGCUAUUUGUUCAAAUAUUUUGCCCCUUUCCCCACAAAACAACUAAAUUAAACACAUAAAAAGAGACAAAAGUUAUAUCAUUAAUCAACAAUACUCACGCAUCAACUUUUAAUCGCCACAAACGCUUCCCUUCUUGAUUUCAAGCAAAAAGAGUUUAAAAGUCCUCAAAUAUAAAUUAAGCACGUUUCAGUAACUACAUUUUGACCUCAAUGGUUCUUCACUAAAUCCUUCUAUGAACACUUGAUCUUCACUAUACGGCACUAAAACACUCAACACAUCUAUGCCGGUGGUAAGAAAUCAAAACUUAGGGUUUGAGGUUUGGGGGAAACCAAAGUUGCGGUUGAAGUUAGGCUUAACUUGAGGUAAUAAUGCCUUCUAUGUCUAAUUUUUCAGUUCCAUGUACACAUUCUUUGUGGUGGCUACUUGCAUCCAUGUCUUUAAUAAUAUAAUUAUUAAGGUUUUGGUGUUUUUGGUUCAUAAUUUGUAUUGUACUUGAGGCCAAAACUUGAGUUUCGUAGUAGCUAGCUACUGCUAUAGGGGCUUGGCCGUGGAAAUGUGUUUUUGUUGUUGAAUUGCAUAUUGUUUGCCAAUGAUAUUUGCCCUUGCUGUUCCUUUGACAAAUGCUAAAGUUGAAAUACCAUAGUUCAAUUGUUUAAGUCUGAAAUCAAUGCUAAUACUACGGUAUGCAAGUUGUUUUUUGAAUUAGAAAUAGUAUUUUUCCGUGAUAGUAGGUUCUCUAUUCUUUGAGUAGUUUUGCUAAUCCUAUUUUUAUUGUUCUUUAGUUUAGGACUUUAUUGUUGAUAAGUGCACAUUUUACGUGUUUUAAGUGUGUUUUAUUAAUUAGUUUUGGUGUAUUUUAACUACUUUUAUAACUAAUUAACUAAGAUUCUAAUGAAAAUAUGCAUUUUAUGGUUUAAGUAGUGUAGACACCAAAAAAUUUAGUUUCAUUUAUUUUAUUUUAUGUUUUUUUUCUUUUUUUUUCUUUUGUUUCUUUUUCCUACCUUUUAAAGAAAAUCAUCCCAAAUUCAUUUUUAGAAAAGGCAUUAGAAAGAAAGAAAAAGAAAAGGAAAAUCAAUUGAAAUCAGUUUUUGUUAAAAAAAAAAUUCACCCAAGGGCGCGUGCAACGCACGUACGCAUAAGAAGCAGGAAGCCAGUUCUAGUUGGCAAUUUUUUUGAUCCAUUUUUAGCUCAUUUUCCCUCUCAUUUUUGUUACCUUACACGUCUAAACAAGUACUAAGUAUCUAAUCUUGGAUUUUGACACUUGGAAGAUUGAUCAAAUGGCUCAUAUAUUGCUAAGAAAAUGUAACAAAUAUACACCUUAGAUGCUAGGGUUUGGAGGAGGUUUUGCGUUCCAUAUAAAGGGAUAAAAUUGCACCCAUUAGGUAGAGGAUAGAGAGGAGGCAGUGAAAAAUGAAAAAAAAAAUAGCAAAAAAAGAGAAAACAGAGAGAAAAGGAAGAAGAAAAAAGUGCCGAAAAAAUUUCUAGAAAAUAAAGCCAAGGCUGAUUUUUAGCCCUACCUUUUGCUCAAAAUCCGAUCUAGAUCUUAGUUUUUUAGGUUAUUUUUUUGUUGCUGCACCUUAUACGUUCACCAAGCAACAACUUUCAUUCAGAAAAAAUUAUCGAAAAAAAGCUCCUAGAUCCCUCUAAUUUCGGGUCAACGUAGCUAGCUCGCCAGUUCUCGAGGAUUCCUGCGGCAAGUUCGAAGGGACAAAUUCAGCUUCCGAGCGUGUUUGUUUCAUAUUUUCUCACAUUUGUUGGGUGUUAAAGUAUUAAAGGUAAUUCUUUUCCAUCUUAUUCUGGCCACAUAUCAUCGGAUUUGUAUCAAGAAUGCUCAAAUUUUGCUUGCUGCGUUUUUGCUCUUUCCUAUAUUUUUGCUGUUUUCUUCCUCUUAUGGCAACCUAUUAGUUGGAGAUUUAUCACACAUUUUGCUACUUGAUCUUGUCCUUGGGGAAGGAUAUUCGAUGAUUAAUGUUUGGGUCGAAAGAUUUCGUCUAAAUAGCAUAAACGGAUUCGAAUGUUUGUUGGUUUGAAUAAGCUUCUAGUUGCAGAAAAGCUGAAGCUUCGAAGCUUUGCAUGAUAUUCCAAAAUAAUUAUAGUUUGGCCCUUCAAUUUUUACAUAAUUUCACUAUAGCUCCGAAACUUUUGUACAUAAAUCAUUUUCCUCCUUUUUAAACUUUAAUCUUCUCUUUCAUGUUUUAAGCAUGUUUUUCAGUGAAUUAUUUCCUGAUUUUAGGACAUAAUUAAGGUUUUAUAAUUUUUAGUUGAUUUAUUAUCUUGUUGGAUUUUAGUAAAAUAGGGCUUGUUUGGAAGUGAAGUUUUUGGCAUAGUUUUUUAGCUACUAGUUUUUUAACAACUUUUGCUACAGGAACCACAAAAAACUUAUCAAAGUUUUUUACCUACACACUUCAAAAUAAUACACAAAAAACUUUCCCUUCAACUUUUUUUCUUCUUUUUCCUCCCUCACCCAACCGGCCACCACAUCCACCACCGCUUCCGGAGCCGGUAACUAUUCCGGUCAACUUUUGCCGGCCUUUCUCUUUUUUUUUCUCUCUCCCUCCCCUCCCAUUUUGACCGAUAUGUUGGUUUUCAAAAUCUCUUUUUUCUUUUUUUUUCUUUCUCCCUCCCCCCUCCCCUCUUUCCCUCUGCCUUUCCCCGCCACAUUCCCCCUUUGUCCGCCGCCAUCUCCUCCUCUCAUCACCAGCGCACGCCGCCACCUCGCCGCACGUCUCUCUCCUCUCGCGCGGUUCUCGGUCUCCGCGGCCGGACACCGCUGCCCACGGCCGCGCGACUCCAGCGACACCACAGCCCUUCUCUCUCCCUCGCAACGCCGACGAAGCCACCACCACCUCGCGCGACUCCAGCCCGACCGCCGCCUCUCGCUCGCGCCACGCCCCCUGGCUCCACCGUGCGCCGCCGUUCCUCCUUGGCCGCGACCCAAAGCCCUCGCUUGUUUUCUCUCCUCUUCGCAACUCCCACCUCGCCGCCGUCCCUCUCAGCUCCCUCCACCACAGCACAGGGGUGGGGGAGGGGGGUUGCGGGCAGAGAGGUGGCGGGCAGAGGGAGAGGGAGGGGGAACUUUUGCAGGGGGUGGCGGGGCUGAAGGAGAAGGCGGGGGGAGGGGGUGGCGGGGCAGAGGGGGUGGCGGGGAAAGCGAGGAGAGGGGUGGCGGAGGUAACGGGGAAGGGGAAGGGGAAGGGGGAAGGAAGAAGAAGAAGAAGAAAGAAAAGAAAAAGGAAAGAAAGAAAAAGAAAGAGAAAGAGAAAGAGAAAGAGAAAAGGAAAGAAAAAAAGAAAUGGAAAAAAAAUUUUACUUUACAAAAACUUCUACAAAAUUUUUUCAAAAACUUCUACAGUACACUACAGUAAAGUUUUAGACAAACUCCCAAAAAACUCAGGUUCCAAACAGGCCCAUAGUUAGAAUUUGGGUUAGAAUUUUUGUAGUUGGGUUUAGGAAGUGGAUGGUGGUUAUUUUUCUGGGUUUGUGACAUGGACUUGGAAGCCGAAGCCCAUGUAUUUUCUGUUGGGCUUAAAUGGAAAAAGAAUGGCUUAGACCGUUUUGUUUCUUAAGGCUUUCGAUUGUGCUAAGGGAUUUUCGCCGAAAUAAGAAAUAAAAACGGCCCAGUGGCCCGUUUAUCACAAGAUGUGCUAGCAUAAAUUGCAGGUGAUUCCCUGUACUUUCAUAUAAUUAUAUUAUGGUUAUAUAAACUUUAUCUUUCUUUCAAUUAGGUCCCUAAUUUAAUUUCAUAUUAGUCCCUAAACUUUAUUUUUCUUUAAUUUUAAUCCCUAUAUUUUGUAAUAAUUAUAUUGUAAUCCCAAAAACUUUUAUAAUUUUGCAAUUAGAUCUCUAACAGCUUUAAUUUCUCAAAUAUAAGUUAAUUAUCUUCUUUAAUUGUUAAUUUUAUUUUAUUUAAAUAUUUUAAUUGAUAGAUUUCAUGAUUAGUUUCAUUUCUUUAUAACGAUAAAGUGAAUUUGCAUUAUGUUUAUAUAUUAUUCUUUUUAUUUGUUAAUUAAAUUAGUACCUCGACCUUUUCAUUGAUUUUGGAGUAUAAAUAGGACAAAUCCAACCCCAAUUAAUUACUAUUUCAAGGAAGGUAUCUUCUUUUAUUAUUUUAAACUCUCUUAUGUGUUCCUAUGUGUUUUUUUACGCGUAAUUGCAUGUUUUUGAGUGUUUUUUUUUUAUUUAUUUACUCAUUUUAUUUGUUUCAACUUUCAUAUAUUUAAUUUAAUUUUGAUGAUUAUUUGAGAGGCAUUUAAAUGCCAAAUUGUAAUAGAUAGGUGCUCAAGACAUGUAUUUAAUUAGGCUAUGUAAUAUAUAGGUUUGACUUUUGUCAAAAAUGUAAUUAAUUAGAUAAAUGUAAUAGUUAGGUUAUUAUUUUUUAAAUUUCCCCCUUAGAUUGUAGUUAGGGUCCCAAAUGUAAUAAUUAGGUUUUUCAUGUGCAUUUAUUUACUUGUGUGCUUGCAUGUUUACUUACUUUCUUUAGAAUUUUUGCAUCUAGAUAUUAUACUUAUUUGUUAUGUGUUCUAUGUGUUUAUAUGUUUACUUGCUUUAAUUAUACUUUAUAUGAUUUAUUAAGUCAUAAUAAAUGCAUGUGUCACCACACUAGUCCAACGCUAGUGAGAACUUAUAAACAUGAGCUAGUCCAACACUAAACUCUUAGGCUGUUUUCGCGCUAGAAUCACAUGUUUCCGUGACGUUCAUUACAUUUCAUGCAUAUUUUUACUUUUGGGAUCCUUUUUCUCAUUUUGCAUGAUUUUUUCCUAUAAAUUAUCUCCCUUAUCCCUAUGUGUGUGAAACAUGACAUUUAGACUUGCAUUUCAUUUAGAAAAUUAGAAAUAAUUUAGUUCAUUUGCUUGACUAGGUUAGGUAAGUCAACCUUCAAAUAUGGGAAAUGAACGAGUAUAGUUUCUUAGCCAUAGCACGCUCGUAUCCCCUCUCUACAAAAAGGACAAUUGAGCUACGAAUCUUAGUUUUCCGUAUCCGUUAUGUUGCAUUCCUCUCUUUUAGGUCACUUAUAUUUUUUUUUCGAGUCUCAUUUUUUACAUAUUCGUGACAUUUUCUAAGAAUCAUUUUGAGUAUCACAAUUAAUGUGAUUUGCGCGAAUUAAACUUUAAAGAUGCAUUUUGAUGCUCUCAACAUCCAUUAGGUCUAGAUUUACAUUCAUAUAGAAAUAUUCAAAUGUGAUAAGUCUAUAGGUUAGACUAGAAAAAUUUUCGACUAAAUCCCGCAACUAACUUUGACUAGGUUGAAAGGGUGUCUUAGAUCAAAUCAUUGUCUUUCCUUUCUUCAACCAUAACUUCCGAACCCUUUUAUUUUAUUUUCAAAGAUCUAGAGUCGUCUAAAAAGAGUUUUAUUUAAUUUUUUAUUAAAAAUAUAUUUUUAGGUAAUUUGGUAUGUCUAAACUCGAUACCAAGUGACGACUCCUAUUUUUCUUUAAAACUCUUUUUAGACUAUUAUUUUGGGCUCAAAUCGUCGCAUAUUUUAAGUCCCAUUUAGGUCUUUUUAUUUAUUUUAUAAAAUAAAAAAACUCACGUUUUUCACUUAUCUUUAAUAAAAAUUCAUUUUUUAAACAACGUAAAUCAAAUUUAAUGAAAACUCAUUUUUUUAAUCAUUUAAUUAUUUUUUCCAAAAAAUGGGGUGUGACAAGUGGUAAAAAUUGCAUUUUCAUAAAUUUUAAUGGUGAAAAUUUCAUGUUUUUAUAGGUUUAAAGAUUCAAUCAUCAAAGGGAGUGAAUUGAGAAGAUAAUUGGAUGAUUGAUAAUGUUUGAAGUGAUAGAAAGAGAAUAUGAAGUGCAAGAGAUGAAAUGCAAUUAAAGGAAGUUUUCAGUUUUGAUAUCUUGUGGUAUUUCGACAAUAUCUUGAACUAAAAGUAUUAGAUUGAGGUGAUUGUUAUACCAUUUUGAAGAUAAGAGAUAGAUCUAGAUUUAGCAUAAAGACAUUGAAGUCCAGUUUAAUUAUUUUCCUAGUUAAAAAGUCAAAAUACAGAAGUGCAUUUUUAUGGUUGAAAGCUGAAACAGAGUUUUGACUAGUCGAGGUAUUUUGAUUAUUUCUCGAUCCACAGAAAUUCAAAUUAGAUGAUUCUUGAUGCAUUGGAAAGCUAAGUCAAAGAGUACAAUUUUCAUGUUUUACGCAAGAACUAAUUCAGCCUUCAUUAUCAAGAAAAGAUUAGUGGAAGUUGGGAAAAACAAAGCAAGUAAAUCUGAGUUCGAUUUUGUACUAAAUCUAACCUUGGAUAAAUUUCUAUAAUCAAAGACUACGUCCUAGAGGAGGAUCCAACCUUAGAUCCCCAUGUUAUAGGCCUUGGAUCCUAAUGUGCAGCGAAGAUAAAAAUGAAGAAAAAUGAGAUCCGGGGGGUAUUUUGAACGAUCCGACCUCGGAUUUUGCCCUCAGAUCCCCAAUUGCGGCUCUGCAACUUACUCUGCAAUUUGUGCUCUAUUCACACAAGCUUUCUGACUGGAACUGAGCAAGCAAGUGUGGAGAAUUCAAGAAGCAUCUUUUGGUGAUUCCAAGGAGCAAUUUACAUCAACUUUAACAACUCACCUUAAGCUUGAAUUCCUCUAUAAAUAGAGGCAUUGGAGAACAUUUUCACAAUUUUGGAAGGUUAGAGAAACUCAUAAAAAAUGUAAUUUUUACUAGAAUUCCCUUAGUUCAUUGGUUAGGGUAGUAUAGUAUAGUUAGUGUAGUUUAUCCUUCUUGUAUUUGUAGUUAGAUUUAGAUGAAAAUUUGAAAAGCAAAGAUGAAGAGUUUGAAGUUCAUGUGACAAGGGUGACUUCUCUCCUAUCACUUUUUCUUUUGUAUUUGAUUUUAUGUUUAACUAUAAUAUAAGUUUUUCAUGUUUAGUUAAAUUUUAUGCCUAGAGUAUGGAUGAAAUUUCUGUAUCUUGAUAGUGAUGUUUAUUUGGUUAUUAGAUGAUGCUAAUUUGAGCAAGUUAUUUAUCACUUUUGCUUUCUAAUCAUGAUUAACCGGUCAUUAAUUGUGAUAAUUUUAAGGUGUCAAGUUUGCAAUGAAAAUUAAAAUUUAGCACGAGUUCAAGGAAGUGAUAAAUUUAGGGAGUACACUUACGAAAGUAGAGAUGCACAUUUGUGGCUUUAGUGACUUGUUUCAUGUAUUUCAUAGAAGAAAUGAACUUGUAGUUAGUUUCAUAAUCACGAAAGUAGGUAUGAAUUAACUUUAGGUAUAGUUGGUACACUGAUGAAAAAGGGUAUCACGUAUAUUAGGAAAUUACAUCAUAACUAACCAAGAUAAUAGCAUUCGACUAACCGGUAAUUUCAUUUACAAGAGUAGCUAGGAAUUCCAUACCUUUAGAAGCUUUGUAUUGUUAUUUUUAUUACUUCUAUUUCAUGUUUGUAGUAUAGAUUUAAUCUUUUGCAUUUGUGAUAGUCUAAAUAAUAAAGAAAUUCGAAAAUCAUUGGUAGUUGACAAUAUUCCUUAUGGGAUCGACACUUAAUACCCCUAUGCUUAAUAAACGAUUCGUAUACUUGUGACAAAUCGCGUGAGUUAUUUAGGAUUUAUAAAUGUAAAACUUGACUGUGGAUGAACUAAUUGUUAUAUUUAUACGCCGCACUCGUCAGUUGUCUAAAGUUUGAACAAUAAUUUGAUCUAAAGUUCCUUUUGUAUUAAGUUUCUAGCAAGGUGAUAUAUAUAAAAUAAUGGCUUGUGAAGAAACAUGUUAGGCUUGCAAGGUCACUAAUUGAGAUUUCUCCACUUCUUUACUUUCCUUUAUAUUUUGCAUAUACAUUUAGGCAAUGGACAAGACUUGGAUGAAAAUAACAAAUACAAAGGAUGAAACUUAGUUAGACAGGGUAAAAAACUUUGUGAAAUUUGCAUAUUCUAAUAAUGAGAAACAUAUCAAAAUCCCAUGCCUGUGUAGAGAAUGCAAUAACUUCCGGAAUCAGCCAAAAUGUGGUGUGAAUAAUCACUUAAAUACUAUUGGUAUUCAUAAGAGUUUUAUUAGAUGGAUAUAUUAGGGUGAGGGAUUCGAAAUGAAACUAUUAAUGAAAAUGCAAGUAAGGUAGACCUAGAAGAAGAUAGUGAUAAGGAUGAAAAUGAUUUGGAAGAUAUGUUAAAUGACAUUUGUACUGCUAAUUAGGGGGAGAAUUGGAGGGACAAAUAAGAAACAACAAUGAAUACCCCAGAUGGGAAAGUUACUGAAGCAAAUGUAUUUAUUAGAUUGUUCAAAGAUGCAAAACAAAAUUUGUAUCCUGGUAAUAAAAUUUUCUCCAAAUUAUCAUUUGUUGUGACCCUACUACAUUUAAAACCAAUGAGUAGUUCCUAGAGUUUGACUAUUAACUCCUUUGAUUCAUUACCUAGAGUUUUUAAGAAUGUAUUACCCCUCAAAACUGUAGUUCCUAAGUCAUUUUUUGAGGUUAAGAAAAUAAUUAAAGACUUGGGAUUUAAAUUUGAAAAAAAUCAUGCUUGUGUGAAUGAUUAUAUCCUCUUUCGCAAGGAGUGUGAGAGGUUAGAUACUUGUCCAAUGAAAAAUGUAAGGAACCUCGCUAUAGAUCAAAGUGCCCUAAAGUUCCACGCAAGGUGCUGUGCUAUUUUCCUUUGAAACAGAGGUUGUGAAGAUUAUAUGUGCACAAGGAAAUAGCCUUUGAUAUGAGGUGGCAUAAAGAAAAAUGCAUUAAUGAUAAUGCAAUGCGGCAUCCAGAAAAUAGUAAAGCAUGGAAACACUUUGUUAAGGAGCAUGAAGAUCAUUGUCUUGUGCAUUUAGGACUAGCAAUUAAUUAUUUCAAUCUGUAAUGACCCCACCUCUCCCUAAGGCGAACCAAAGGGUUCAGCGGACCGCCUGCCCAACUCUCGUCAGGACUCAAGCACUAGCUAAAUAACAAAUCCUUUCAAAAUAAAAGUCACAUUUACACGGCCAAUACAAAAGAUCCCGAAUUAAAUACAGCAGAUUGUGAUCGAUAUAAUCUUGAAAUAUGCUACUAGUUCUUUUUUUUUUGACUUGGAAUAGGUUCCAAAAGUCCAUUCAUGGGAACAACUUUCUUUUCUUUUUUACGUAUAAUUUUUUUUUCUCGAAAGAUUCUAAUUCCUGUGUUGUCCUGAAUUGUCAUUGCCCAUUUGAAAUCCCUCCACAAAUGAAAAAACCCUUCAAGUUCGACACAUGAAACCAACCCACACUCUCUCUCUUUUUUUUUCUGCCGACGAAGCCCACGGAUGAAACCCUUUCUCGCCUGAAAAAGACGAUCGCUCCCUCACCCCAUUUUCUUCCUUCUCCGUCUCUUUCGACGAAAACCUGAUGGGAGACCGGAAUACUAUUUGGAUAAACAUUACCAUUCUUGAGACAAAUGGUCGGUUCAUUCAUGACUUGAUGAAUUCCAACACUCCCCACUCGAACUUUAGUCUGGCCAUGUCUUUUUGGCGGAAUGUAUUUUCGGGGCAGAAGAGAUGGGAGGCACGCCGUGGAUGUUUAUCUUCAUGUUGAGAUUCAAGCAUGGCAAGUGGAAAUGAUGUACCUUACCGGCGACGGAGAAAUUGGUGUUCUCGAAUUGGAAACGCGUUGGGAAGACAUCAAGUGUAGAGUAAUAUUGAUGGUGGCAUUUCCUCUGAGCUAUUUGAUACGAAUACAUAGGACGCUACCUCCUCCGGGAUUAUUUAGAUAUAUAGUGAUUCGAACGGAAUUGGCACGGAACGGCAGUCCCCUUGGACAGCUGACCAGAAUUCACGUGGGUCACAUGGCCAGAAAUGGCAUCCCCAAUGUUAAUGUCUUGAUAAAUAAUCUGCUGCAGUUAGCUAACAUUGGUGGGCAUCACUUUCUCAUGAUGUACUGUUUGAUUGGCGAGGAGCACUAUCGAAUCUUGAGUCAAGGGCCGAAUGUUCAGAGUUUUCACAAUUUUCAAGAUUAGAAUUUUCAAGAUUUUAUUUCCAUUGUGUCCGUAAUUUUUCACUACUAGUUCAACUUACAAAAGUUGAGUUCUCAACUUACAAAAGCAAAACUAAAAGUUGGUACAACUAAACUACAACAAAAAAUUCCGACAAGAUCCGGCCCUUCCUAUUUAGUUGCCCAGGUGCUCGCUCCUGUAAAGAAAACAAAUCUAAAUGGUGAACUUUCGUCCCAUGAGGUUCCAAGAAAGUCAUGCAAUAAUAAUAUCAUAUUCACGCCACAUAGUCAUAGUUCACAACCAUAAUGCAAGUUCACGUUGGAUACUCGACAAUUAAGAAUUUGCAUUGUCAUAUAAAAGGAUACAUGGCUCUCAAGAGCAUAUUCAACCAGUUUGAUCAGAAUUUCGUUGACACUCUAUCAAUAUUUUUUUCAAAAUGCUAACAAGUAUUUCACCACUUCAAGUCAUUCUCCAACCACCGUUCAACCCCCUACCGGACUGGCACGUCAAAAUUUAAAAAGACAUUUGUACUGCUAAUUAGGGGAAGAAUUGGAUGGACAAAUAAGAAACAACAAUGAAUACCCCAGAUGGAAAAGUUACUGAACAAAUGUAUUUAUUAGGUUGUUCAACGAUGCAAAAUAAAAUUUGUAUCAUGGUAAUAAAUUUUUCUCCAAAUUGUCAUUUGUUGUGACACUACUACAUUUAAAAACAAUGAGUAGUUCCUAGAGUUUGACUAUUAAUUCCUUCGAUUCAUAUCUAGAGUUUUUAAGAAUGUAUUACCCCUCAAAACUGUAGUUCCUAAGUCAUUUUUUGAGACUAAGAAAAUAAUUAGAGACUUGGGAUUUAAAUUUGAAAAAAAUCAUACUUGUGUGAAUGAUUAUAUCCUCUUUUGCAAGGAGUAUGAGAGGUUAGACACUUGUCCAAUGAAAAAUGUAAGGAACCUCGCUAUAGAUCAAAGUGCUGUAAAAUUCCACGCAAGGUGCUGUGCUAUUUUCCUUUGAAAAAGAGGCUGUGAAGAUUAUAUAUGUACAAGGAAAUAGCCUUUGAUAUGAGGUAGUAUAAAGAAAAAUGCAUUAAUGAUAAUGCAAUGCGGCAUCCAUAAGAUAGUAAAGCAUGUAAACACUUUGUUAGAGAGCAUGAAAAUUCUUGUCUUGUGUAUUUAGGACUAGCAAUUGAUUGUUUCAAUCUGUGAUGACCCCACUUCUCUCUAAGUCGAACCAAAAGGUUCAGCGGGUAGCCUGCCCAACUCUCGUCAGGAUUCAAGCACUAUCUAAAUAACAAAUCUUUCAAAAAAAAAGUCACAUUUACACGGCCAAUACAAAAGAUCCCGAGUUAAAUACAGCAGAUUGUGAUCGAUAUAAUCUUGAAAUAUGCUACUAGUUCUUUUUUUUUGACUUGGAAUAGGUUCCAAAAGUCCAUUCAUGGGAACAACUUUCUUUUCUUUUUUACGUAUAAUUUUUUUUUCUCGAAAGAUUCUAAUUCCUGUGUUGUCCUGAAUUGUCAUUGCCCAUUUGAAAUCCCUCCACAAAUGAAAAAACCCUUCAAGUUCGACACAUGAAACCAACCCACACUCCCUCUCUUCUUUUUUCUGCCGACGAAGCCCACGGAUGAAACCCUUUCUCGCCUGAAAAAGACGAUUGCUCCCUCACCCCAUUUUCUUCCUUCUCCGUCUCUUUCGACGAAAACCUGAUGGGAGACCGGAAUACUAUUUGGAUAAACAUUACCAUUCUUGAGACAAAUGGUCGGUUCAUUCAUGACUUGAUGAAUUCCAACACUCCCCACUCGAACUUUAGUCUGGCCAUGUCUUUUUGGCGGAAUGUAUUUUCGGGGCAGAAGAGAUGGGAGGCACGCCGUGGAUGUUUAUCUUCAUGUUGAGAUUCAAGCAUACUUUCCACAACACUCCCCACAACGAUGUUUAUCAUACUUUCCUUUUUGGACUGUCCCAAAAUGUUUGUCAUGUUUAACAUUUUAAACUAUUUUAAGCUAUGAAAUCUCAUUUUUGCCCUUCACUAAUGAUGUGACAAUGCAUGUGCUAGUUGGCCAACAAAUUGAUGUAUGGUCCCAAAGGACAUCCAAAUGUCCCAACUUGUACCAUGUUUGACUUCCAGCUCCAGCAAAAUUCUUGGUUCCGAUUCUAGCCAAAUUCAUCACCAAGAAUGUGUAUAUGGCUCUUUCAAACUUCAAUUGAAGACUAAUUCUGUUAUCAAGAGGAUAAUUUCAAUUUUUUGCAGUAAAUAGAAUAUCGAGAUGGCUUAAUUAGUGAUUUUCUUUUAAAAUCUUUCAAUUUAUAAAUUAUUUUCAUAUACACUAAUUUGUUAAGAAUAAUCAACUUUCACAAAAUAAAUUCAUUUUGAAAGCAAGAAAAUAGUGUAAAAAUAGGUGAAUAAUUUGUGAUUGAUCCAAAAACUAAACAAGCAAAAUAAUAAGGCAUGUUAUUCUACUAGGAGAAAAAACGAUGGAGAAGAAAUCUGCUAGAAGAAGAUUUUGAUAAGGAAACCGGUUUUUUGUGGCUGAAACAAAGUAUUGCUUUUUGGUGGGUCCCAUUUUGACCCAUUUGUUUCUUGGAUGAGGAAGAUUUUGGUAAGGAAAUGAAUUUUUUGUAGUCGGAACAAUGGAGUGCUUUUUUAUGGGUCCCACUUUGACCCAUUUGUUUCUUGGACGAUUCAGUGAAAUGUAAAGGGCAAACUUGGAACAAAAGAACUUACAGAUAAGUGGAUGUUGCUGUGCAUAAAAAGCGUUGGCCCCAAAGUACGACAGACUUUACGGGACGGAGGAAGUACUAUUCAAGGGUCAAAAUAGAAAUCUAAAUAAUUAUUUUGGACCCUAUUACAUGCCAUACACAUCUAUCUAUCACGGAGAGAAAUAUAUUUAAUGCCAUGAUGAUUAUAGUUGAAGUAUACAAUUGAAUGAUGAAUUAUACAAACAUCAAUUUCUAUUCAAAUUAUUGAUCAAAGUGGAGGACAAGUGUUAUAAGUUUUUACAUAUUUUUUUUAGUAUAACACACUUUGUUUAGUACAUUUUAUUUUAUAUGGCUAUUUAUGUAAAAGUUUUUGGUCCCUCUUGUUCUUUUUUUCUUUUCUAUAGGAUACAUUUAUUUGGCAUAUGAUUUAAGUGUUUUCCUAAAUUAAAUUCCAUUAACAAGUUAAUGAAAAUUGGAUUGCUCAAUACUGGUACCUUUCUCCAUUUUAAAUUGAACUUUCCUUCACACAAUCUAUUAGAUACUUCUUUUCCUUGUUAUUUCAUUUUCUCAAAAAAAGUAUUCUCUUUAUUAGCUUUGAUUUCUUCAUCACUUAAAUUAACACCAUUUUAUUGAGUAUUUCAAGGAUAAAUGUAAAUGCACUAUAAAACAUAUAUACUUUUUUAUAUCAAAACAUUGUUCUGGCGUAAAAUUACAUAUUACAAUAUUUUGGUCCUUCUAUUUCUAAUGGUGGACACUCUUAGGGUCCGUUUGAUUCUUGGGAUGACACGAGAUUGGAUUAAUCAUCCCAUAUUUGGUUAUAUUUUAUACGUGGAAUGACAUAUUGUGAUGCCCCCACCUCUCCCUAGGGCGUACCCUAGAGCAUCAGCAGGGCGCCCGCCUAACUCUCGUCAGGACUCACGUACUCAUUCAAGUUUAAAAGAAAUCCACAAGUCAACCAUAGAUUUAGAAUUAAAGGAAUACUUCAAAUAUACAAACCAAAUUCUUCUAAGGCAACUGUGUACAAUUACAAUCCAAAACCCAAAUAUAAAAAAAAAAAAUACACUUCUAAUGUCUCCAAUAUCAUACAAAAAAAUUUACUAGUUUCAACCAAAACCGCUAGUCUAGAACUUCCCAACUUUCACUUCCAAAACCUAUUAAGAAAAACAAAUUGGAGUGAGCUAAUGCUCAAUGAAGCCAAGAAAUCAAGCAAGCAAGUAAACAAGUAACUUGACCUAAUUCAAAUAGAACACUUAGGAGAGACUUAACACCAACUUCAUAUAAACGAGUAAGUAGGAAAUAAAACACAAGUGAAAAGGCUACAGGAGGUCUAAGGAGCUAUUUCCAUGUCUCGACCGGUUCAUGCCAUCUUUGAUUGACCCUCUGUCAACUCAACCAGCAACAUGUCUGUAGAGCUCCACUUAUUUCUUCCAUCUACCAUAUCGCCUUCUCGGAUCUGGAACCAAACAAGCACGAGAUGACAAUACUAUUCGAAUAUGUCAAGUAAGAUCUCAAAAGAUCAAACUAUAACAUUUCCUAUGGUUCACCAAACUUCUCGACUAAGCCCUUGCCGGUUCGAGUUACGAGGUUAGCCAAUGGAUUGGGCGUCCCCACAAGUACAAUUAAUUGAUGAGACAACGCUCCAAUCGAUUUAAAAUCGGUCAUAAUAUUGAGUCGGGAUGAGAGGCACCUCCUAGCCAAAUAGGGUGUCGUACAUAUUGCCGCUCAGUACUCACGAGUUAAGACAUGCUCGAGUACAAGUUAUACAAAUUCAUAUUUUAAGCAACAAGCAUUCAAGAGAGUGAGAAUGAGGGCGGUAAAGUACACUCUAUCCUCGGCAAGUUCACACGAAUCACAUAGUACUUGUACAAUUACUAUAUCAACCAUAGCAACAAGAAGCAUGCACUUGACACUCACCAAAAGUCAAGAGCAAAACAGGAGGAAAAGCAAGAAGUCAAAUGAGUUCCUCUGUGUCCACGUGAUCACCUAAAACAUGUACAAUCACGGUUACCUAGGUAUUCGACCAAAACUAAGAAAAAAUAUCCCCUUGCUACCCACACUCAAGAGCUAUAAGUUCAAAUCGAAUAAAAGAGACUUUCUUGCUUAAUUAUUGAAAUAAUAUUCAAGGAAGAGUCAAAAGUCAUUUCCGAGUCAAGUUGUGGCAAGAAAUUUCGAUUUUAAAAGAGAAGUACCAUGCUUAAUUUUUUGGCACGAAAAUCGAGGAAAGAAAAAUUAUUUUCAUAUCUUAAAAUUUCUAAUCUUAUGCCCAAGUUUUUAGAAUAUAAAUGAGCGUUCAUAUUUUCUAAACUUAUGAAGUCAAAACCAUCAAAACUCUACUUAAUUCAUGGUAAAUAUUGAAGUUAAAAAUUCCAAGUUUCAAAUAUAAAGUUAGUGAAGUUCCUAAAAAAUUACUCUAGUUAAAACGCUCCAUUUAUGGUUCAUUUUUAUGGAAACCGAGGGCACAAGACUAGGAGGUGAAAUCCAUUUCCCAUGUAGGAAAUGAGGUGCAAAUAAUCAAGAAGGUUAGGUUUGAAACCUAGAAAAUGUUCCCAAACCACUUUGGAGUUUUGGUCACUUUAUAGGGAAAGUUUCAGUUUUGGCAACCUUUUUUUGAAAAAUCAUAACCUGAGUUCCAUAAGUCCAACAUUUGUAAAUCUUAUACCGUUGGAAAAUAGACUCAAUAAACUAAAACUCUCUAGGAAAUACUUUUUCAGAUUCAAAUUAGAAAUCAAUCAAAUCUGAGAUCCAAAUCACUGUUUCAAUAAGAACAGGGCAAAACAGUUUUGAAUUUUAGUUAAACUUGAAAAUUUAUCAAAAUUCAUAAGAAUCGAACUAGCUCCUGAAAUUUAUACCACUGAAAAAAAUCCAAGUCUAGUUUCAAACGCAAUAAGCGGAACUCAAUUUGGAUCUUCCCACGCCAAGAUACAACAGUUUUAUGAAAGCUGAUUUUUAAACCCUGGUUCACGAAAUUCCAGCAUUGGAGUAUCUGAUGCAGUUUCGAAAUCAAGUCAUAAAUAAGGCUACACACAUCCAAAUUUAGUGUGGUUUAUGGCGUUGAAAACUAGAUUCAAAAUUCUAAAAAUCACUAGAAGAAACUGUCUUCAAAUUCAUUUCGUAAAGGGAGUGAAAGUGAGCUACAAACUGCAGCUAUGCUUGUUUCUCGGUUAAAACAGAGAGAAAAAAAAACAGCCAACUUUGCCAGUGCUGACCAGAAACAAACAAUAUUCUCAAGGCCACUACUUGAUUUCAACUCCUGUACAAAAAAUUAUGGGCUGAUAAGUGCACCCUGGAAAGCAGUGCUGACCAGAAAUUUUCCGGGUUUGACUUCCUCCCUUUUAACUUAACUUUAACUCAAUCAAUUGAAAUGUUUUUUCGGAGAUAAUUUACAUACAUAUAAUCCAACAUAUAACAAGCAUUUUAGCAUCAAUAUAACCACUAAAUUCGAAAUUAACACAAGAGAAAAUGAACCAGCAAAAUCGGGCAGCCUUGCUCCCUUUUCUCUUCAAAUUUUCUUUCCAAAUCUUCAUACCAAAACCAAACUAUAAACCACUAAAAUAACAACCAAACAAACAAUAUUCUCAAGGCCACUACUUAAGAAUCCGCCUCAAGACAUCUACCUAAAGUCAAGGUUCAUGGAACCCAUCAACAGCCCAAGCUUAUCUAGUGAAAAACUAACUAAAACUAACCAUAAGAUGGAAGAAAAAUGAGAGCUUUGAGAGUUACCUUCCUUCCAAGAGUAGUAGGCAAAACCACAAGAGUUUAAGUUUUAAAUCACCAAGAAUCUCUCCUCCUUCAAAUCUCCUACUAAGCUUGAGGAUGCUCCAAGAGAAUGGGCUAGGUGGAGCAAGAUUUAGGGAACAAAAUGAAGAAGAUGAAGCUGAAAUUUUCUUGGCAAAUGGAGGGAGAAAUGGCCGGCCAAGUAAGGAGAAGAAGAGAUGGUUUUGUGAGCCUUUUUUUUUUUCUUAGUGAUGUAUAGGCUAGAAUGAAGCAUAAGAGUCUCUAAUUGGUUACUAGUGGCAGACAAGAAUGAAUUAGACGAGCUUCUCUCGGUUCCACAUAGAAAACAAUAGUUGGUGCUAGUAGGUUGUAUAGCAUUCUCAAUUCUUAAUAGAAGACAAUAAUAAAUACUAGUAUAUUAUCCCAUUAUAGGUUCUAAUGGCAGACAAGACACAUAUUGGUAGUUCAAUCCUUCCUUUUGGUUUCACGUAGGAGCUAAUACCCAUUCAUAAGAGUUUUGAUUUCUAACAAGUACUAGUAGUUCCUUUUAGUUUCUAACUAGAAUGGAAAAUGCAAGAUUUUGAUUCUUGCACAUGUUAGGCAUUUACAUGCAUUGAAGCAAAUGCUUUUCUACGUUUGUCUUUUAUUUUUUAUAUAUAAAGCAAAUGCUAACUAAUACUAAUAUUUAAUGGUGUAAGUGAUACAAUUUCCUAAGGUAUUACCGGUUUAUUUAUUAAUAAAAAUAAGUAAUUAAACAUGUAAAAGAAUUUAUCGGGUCCUCACACAUAUCCUCUCUAACCAAAUUAAUUCCCGAUACAAGGGAUAAAAUAAUCCAUGAAAGAGGUGGUAUUAGUCAUCCCGGGAUGACUAAUAGAUAGAAUGAUAAAAUUUUAUACUAAUUUAUCUUUACUACAAAUACAAAUUUAUACUCGUAUAAUUAUAUAGCCCUACUCCCACAUAAUAAUAUAAUAUGAAUGGACUAAUUUGCUCCUACUAACUAAUUUCAAAGUUUUUUAAGUAAUUUGCCCCUACUACCAAUAUAAUAUUUUGGUCGGAAUCCACCACAUAUCUUGCACGUGAUCAUUUUUUAAGGGCAAUAUUGUCAAAUCAAAAUUUACAUAAUCUGAUAGAUAGUCUCUCACAUUUCAUAAAAUGAAAUUUUUUUGUCUCUCGCAUUUCAUAAAAUGAAUUGUUUCGUCCCUCAUAUUUUAUAAAAUAAAUUUUUUCAUCCCUUAUUGAUCAUGUGUAUGAAUAACUUUUUUUUAAACUCAUGUAUAUAUAUAUAUAUAUUUAAUUUCAUCUGAACAAUACGAAUAGCAUGUAACAUACCUCUAUUUGAUUUCGCUUGAACGUACUGUUCAGGUGAAAUUAAAGUAGAUAUAUACAGGGGUUUAAAAAAAUUGUUAGUUUUUUUACUCAUGUUUAUUUUUUUUAUUCAAAAAUUGAAAAUAAAGAAGACAUUUAAUCCUAAACAGUAUCAAUUAUUUAUAUCGAAUUAAAUUUGGAUAGAAAAAAUAAACAAAGAAAAGUAUGACAAAAAGAAGUAAAUAAUUGAUACUUUUAAAUUUUAAGAUAAUCACAAGGCAAGAAAUUCAACUAUUGGUCUUAAAGGUGGUGAGUAAAAAUUUCAAAUUUAAAUUGUAAUUUGUUAGCAUGACUAUAGAAUUCGAGUUAGGAUCGAUUAAUUAUAUGGCCUUAUUACACAACUCAAUAAAUGAAUUAUUACCAAAAUAGAAAAGUUAUAAGUAUUGAAUACAUUCACAUAGUGAAAUCAAAUACAAUUCAUUUUAUGAAAUAUAGAGAACUAUAGAUGGAUUAUGUAAAUUUUUAUCACAUACAAGGCAUAUGAUGAAUUCCGGCCAAAAACUAGUUAGAAAUCUAGGUAGGGACCAAAUUUGAUCAAUGUGAAUUUGUAAAGGACGUAAAAUUAUAUUUUUAAAAGGAAGAGACGAAAAAAGUUAUUUUACAAAAUGUGAGGAACAUUUUGAAUGAUUUUCCUUUAAUCUAAACUUCCCAAAUUAUAUUUGAACUACCAAUUGCCACUUGGAAACCUUUAUGUGAAAUUACAAUUAUAGAAUGAGAACCUAUCCAAUGUUGGUUUCGUGGUGUUAUGUCAUCAGCUGUAUAUUGUGGUUGCUUUGACAAAGUUUGAUUAGGAUCCCGAUUACUAAAAGUAAAUUAGCCAAUUGAGCAUUUUGCAUAAGUGGAGGGUACAAUUUAUAAUCAGAUCAAUAACUAGAGGGCCAUAGUGCAAAUUUUGCAAUGUUUAUCUCUUCCCCGCCGCUUCAUCAUGUUUGUAUGCAUCUUCUUGAUGCGUAAAUACCAGAAGAAGCAAAACGGAGAGACGGAAAUUUCAGGGAGCAUCAAGGGACCAGGAUUGAUUGACUUCAAGUAAUUUAAGGUAAAUAAAUCAUAUACUUGAGUUAUAUAAAGCUGAAUUGGAUUGAAUUGUAUAAACAGUCAGCCUGAGCAGUUUUGAAAAAUCAACUAUAACUUAGUAUAGAAAAGCCAAAAUUGAGUGCUGUCAGUAGCAUUUGAAACUAGAUUCAAAAAUCUUUCCAAAGAUACAAUAUUCUAGCUCUAGUUCAUUGUCUAUUAAUAGUGGAAAAUUUGCAAAUUUGGCAUGAAAUCAUGACCUGCACAGCUAGGGACUGAAAAAUUGCAGUGACUUGCAAAUUAAUUUAGACUAGCUUAUGAUCCAAAUUUCUAAAAUGUUCUUCUAAUGAUCAUUAGUGCUUCAAGUCUAGUUUCUAACAGCACAAUUUUUGUGAUUUUUGACAUAUAUAACCCAAGUUGCAAAUUUUUAAAGGAGCAUCGUUAGUGAUGAUUUAACAAGUGACAGCACAGUAUUGACAUUAGAUUGUUAAUGUUCUAAUUUGCUAUUUUAGGGGAAGAUUAAGGGAGGAUCGGAGUGACUUUUGACCGGACCUUGAAUUAUCCUAGAAGUUGGUAAUUGGCACCUUCCUAUCUCUAUGGUUUUUGAAAUGUAUUCUAAAAAGGUUUUAUUUGCUAAUUGUUAUGCAAAAAAUGUAUUUUGUUAUAUUAAAUUGGAUUGAACAUAUGUAAUUUUUUUAGGACUAUGUACUUAUGAAUGAUUGUACUAUGUGUUUAAAAGUGAUUGCCGUUUGAUGUUUUAGACAUAUUGGACUUAUUAAAACAAGUAAAUGAUAGGAAAAGGCUUUAGGCUAUGUAAAUGCUGGUAUGGUCUUGCCACGGGAUGUAAUAGUGGGUAACGGUCCGAUCACGGGUAUAAAGUGACACAUAGUAUGAUAUAAGGAGUUACAUUUUAAAUGGAAUAUGGCCCUAUCACGUGUAAAAAUAGUGAGUAAAGGCCCUAUUACGAGUAUAAAGUGACCAUAACAUGUUUUUUAACUGAAGGCAAAGUGGGAAUAAGAAAAGAUCACACGGAUCAAAAUUAAAGAAUUACAAAAUAUGAAUUUGUACAUAAGUAUGCAUUACGUAUAUGUGAAAUGUCAAUUGUGAUUGAAUUACGUGAAAUGAUUUUAUUAAAUGUUAUAUUUCUUAUUAAUAUGUUCGAUCCAGUACAGAUAUGAAUCGACUUCUUUUUGAACAAGCCGACGCUCUCCCCCACUUAAUUGGCUCUCAUGCAAAUGAGAAUCCAGUUUAGGAUGAGUUGAAGACUAGCUUUGAUCAAGUUAUAUUCUAGAGUUAAAUUUUGCUAAAUUGUAGCCUAUAUGACUUUUGUACCCUAGUAAUGUAUAUAUGUUGAAAGUUUAGUGUAAAGUAUCAUAUGAAUGAUUUUCUAUGUUUGGAACAUUUUUUUAGCACAUUCAAAGGAAUAUGUAAAUGUUGGUUUAUAGUUAUAAACCCGAUAGACGGCUUUAUAUCCUCUUGGAAGGGUAUAUUGGUGCCACGCUUCAAAUUAUAAGUUAAAUAACCCUUUUUUAAAUAUGGUUAUCGGAUUUGGGACGUGACAAGGUGGCUUGGGGUUCAACCGUUACAUACAUGGAGCUACAACUGUUACUUAUUUAGUAUACGACAUUACUGUUUGAGGAGGUUUAGAGCCUUUCCUCCAGUCCCCUGUUUCCCUUUUAGCCAUAUGUUGUAUCAUUCGCAUCAGCAUUCAGCUUCGCCUGUUGAAGUUGGAAGAAUUCCAUUCUUUCUUCUUCUUUUUUUUUUUUUUUGUGGUUCUUGGGUAAAAACGCGGAGCGUCAGAACUCAUUUUCUAUUAAGAGUUGUUAACAAAAACUAUUGCAUUUAGUUGAUAAUUGUGUUUCUAAGAAGAAAAAAGGUAGUCAAGCAAGGUAUCUAAACAAUUAUGUAAAUAAGAUGAAAAAGCCAUCAAAGUAUCAAACAAACACAGCAUUCACUUUUUUUUUUUUUUUUUUUUUUUUGGGAUAACCCUUCUUCCAUGAGAUAUCAACAAAAAAUUGGUCGGUGCAAGUCAAUUUCACUUUGCCAAUUUUUGGAAUGGUGGUAAUGAAGUUAGCCUAAUUUCUGGUAGUCUCUUAGCAUAUGGUGGCUAGGUUUUUAGAACAGUAAGUCCUCUUUUUAUAACGUUUUUAGCUUCUUCAUGGGCACACAAGUAUCAGACGAGACAACCCGGUGCUAAAAUGGAUGAAGGAAGUUUUUGUUCCUAAAUCUCAACAUGGAUAGGGUUGGGUAUAAUGAGCUUUUUCCUUUUGUGUCUUUUUUGGUGAAAUACAAUAGUUGCAUCCGUGUCUUUUUUCAAACUGAAUACGCAAACUUGGUAUUUCAACCUUUUUUUUAUUAUUAUUACAAUGAUAUAUUGUUUUUUCUUAUUAUAUAGAAUAUGGUAGGGGAAAAAAAGUAGAAGUUUUAGUGGGGCAUAUAUAGAAUUGGGUAACGCACACCCAUUUGAAAUCAUAUAUAUUUAUGACUCGUCCAUUUUAACCAUUAAUCAAAUUGAUAUAUACGUGUUGAUUUAAUUAUAUUCAUCACCUAAUUAUAACCCAUUCAGACAAGUCUAAGGGUACAUUUGAUAAAACUAAAGUCUGAAAUUUGAAAUCCGAAUCCAUUAAAUUAUUGAUUUAUUAAGUAUUAAAUUUAAUACAUUUAAGUGCAUAUCACAUUUAGUGAUAAGUGAAUAGUUUAUCACUUAAUUUUGAGAGUAAGUUUUGCCUAGAAAAUUCAAUGCUACUUAAUUAAUUCGGAUGUUCAAUUUUUAGUUAUCAAAUGGUAUGAAUAUGUUAAUAUCUGAAUCCAUUAAGUUUCAAUCUUAAAUUGGAUUAUCAAACAGGGGAAAUCACUGAUUUUAGCAACUCUACUUCUAACUAAUCACUAUAACCUAAUAAUUUCAUGAAUAUGCAAUAGACGAAUCAGGUAAUCAAUCCCUUCUCCUCACUACAAUACGGGUUUCUUUGUGUAUCAAGAGUUUUUUUUCAUACCACGCGCUUACGUAAAAAUCAUACCAUGCGCUUGUGUAAAGAGCAUUCAUAUAUUUCCUCCGUACAGCUUUACCACCGUUGUUUCAAACCAGUCUUAUCCUAUUUUUUUCUGUUCACUUAGAGGUAUCCCAAUUUUUUGAUCAAACUAAUCUCCUAAAACUGUGUGUAAAGCCUUGCCUGAAGAAUAUAUACAACGAGAUAACACAUAAAAAUCGAUUAUGGAACCUGCUGGUAAUUAUCGAAUUGCGAAACCAGUUGAACUAGCCACAGGAGGCCCAAACCACUCUUAUCAUUCUUUAGAAUUUUCGUAUUUACAUGUUGAUAUAUGGCAUUGCUUUUUCUGUGAUGACACUGAUGCCUCGUCCAAGCAAUGAUGUUCAAAAGCUGGAGUAAGCCCCUUACGGUUCCCUCAUCUAAGCAUUUGAACCAUAUCGACCUAUCUAGCAAACAUCUCUCACAUUUUCACAGAUUUGGUACGAGCCAAAUUUCCUGAAUACGUUGAACCUUUUUCAAGCUUAAACAUAAUGAAAAUUUAGACAAAAAUCAACACAACCCAGUCGAAAAUAAUUUGCAAGUCCUUAUCACAAAUACCCCAAUAUUCAUUUACUUCAACAACAUAGCCCAACUCCAACGCCCGCGCCCCCCCCCCCCCCCACCCACACACAACACAAGGAAACCUCCGAAAAACAACCGACCAACCAACCAAAUAAAUCAGCUUCCUUCCCACCAUAAGCACGUGUAGUCCACGAGCAUUUCUUUUGAAGAAAUUCUGGUUAUAUAGGAGGAUAUUAAAAACAACUACGAGCUAAUAACAGCAAUCUCCAAAAUAGUCUAAAAUUCAUUGUAUGGCAUUGUUUUGGAGCAUCCAAACCAGUACAUCAGUCUAUGAAACUCGGAAAUAUAUAUAUUACAUGACAAAAAGUUCAUGAUAAUUCAACUCUGCCAGCUAAUUUGGAGACAUGAAAUGUGCCCGGGCAAGAUGGUAUUCUUUCCCGGCAAUCACAACACCAGUAGACGUCCAAUUGAUAUCCUCCCAUUCUAGAUUGUCUGCCAAUACCUGUCAAAUAAUUUCAUGCACACAGCAAAAGUUUAGAAAAAUGGAUCCUGUCAUAGAGACAUUAUGCUAAUUUUUCCUAGGUGACACUUGCAGGUUAGGAGUCCAAGUCAUUUCAUUUUGUCUACACAUUCAUGUACAAUUGUUUGUUGCUCCAUUUUCAUUGAUUUGUCCAUUUAACUUGCAAGGGAUACCAUUUACGAGUUCUUCAAAAAAAAAAAAAAAACUAAAAGCUUGAUAAUUUGAGAGAACUACAAUUAUCCCAAGAAACCAAAACUUGAGAUUUCAGAAGUUGCAGUAAUGCUUUUAGUCGUGCUCUCUUCAUGUCAAACUAAAUAUACAUAGAUAAACUCAUAAGACAAGGAAAGAAAAGACAACCCCCCCAAAAGGUGGCUGAUCUACUUUCAGUGUAUGCUAAAAAAGGUCAAUCUCAUAAUGAAUGAAGAAGGACCAUUCUACAUAGAUGUAUUAAAAUCUCAAUAUAUCUCACUCCUUUCUCUUUCCAAAUAAGAAGAGUUGCAUAUCACAUUAAGAGAUUACCUCCACAUGCUCAAGGGGCAGUGGGAUCCCAAUUGAUAUCAUCUUUGUUUGGCGAAGGAGAUUCUUACAACGAGACCAUCGGAAGGCAUCUAUAACAACAUUUUCUCCAUCCAUCAGGCCUUUUUCACCAUUUGAAGUAUGUGAGCUAUGAGUUACAGAUUUGUCAGCUUCUGCUUCUUGGGCCUGAGACACUGAUGUAGCCUUUACCAUCUUCUCUCCAGCAAAGCAAAGCUCAAACCUAUACUUGCACGAGUUAAGAGUAAAUGAAUAGCAACUUGCCAGGAAGGCAAUAGCAAUUAUCAGGUUGCAUCUUGAAAGAAGAAGAUAUUCCCAUGCAUCAAGAUAAAUAAAAGUGCUAACAGUUUGCUUUUAUGUAAAAUAAAAAGAAAAGAAAAAGAUUUAAACAUUCAUUUCCUCUUGCAACAGCCUCUAACUAACAAACAAAUAAGUCAGAAAAUUUUGAUCCAGGCUAAUCAGAAAAUGCUAAAGCAAAACUCAUCAUAACAAAAAAUUAUGUGUAUAGCUCAAUUAUCGCUGUCCUGGAGAGAGAGAGGAGGCCCCAGUAGUCUCUUUACUUUCCUGUUUGACAAAACGGAUAUUGUAAAAUAAUUUCACCGAGGAUGCUCAAAAUAAAACUGAGCAUAAUAUGAUACAUGAAUCUUUUAAAAAAAAAUACCAAUAAUACUCAAAUAGUUUGAUUAGCACAUCCUUUCUCCUGUCUAGAUAUUCUAUUCAAACAUGAAGAAUUGAUUGUUUCUCGAAAGGUAAAUACAUUGACUUAAACCAGAAGCAUGAAGAAAACAUUUGCUUACUAUUACCAACCACCAUUACCUGCGGCUAUGGGUUUCCAAGUAGAGUACUUCCCCCUUUUUCAAGCGCGAAGCUGUAAACAGGGGUUUCUUAAGCCCCUUGUCUGCAACCACACUGAUGCUGUAUUUAAGCCUAGACAGACAAAAGGAAAUAGACUAAUCAAAAGAGCAAAGAAUAGGUGAAUAUACAAGAGCUUAUCUGAUUUAUCACUAUGAAGUUUCACAAUAAAUUGGUCAUUUUCUAAUCAGUUCAGGUAAACAGAUUUAUACAAGCAUGUCUCUUUAAUAGUCUAUAUGAACUCUCUUGGAUUCUCAGUCACUAUAAAUUCAUUGCUGCAGCACAGAAAAGAUGAACAUGCAAAAUUAUCACUAUAAUGCACAUAUGAGAAAAGGUUCUACCGGCUAAGUAGAAGAUGGGCUCCACUAAUUUCUGUCUGUACUACUUGUAAGCCAAAAAAUUCUUGAUUUGAAAGACGACCAAUUUUGCCAACUAAAAGCACAAUUCAAGAACUUAAGAAUCAUUGCUAGUUUUAUGUAUUACAUAUGAUGUUUCACCCCCAAAUGCAUGUCUUUAUCUAUUAAGCCAGAAACAAAGAAAGUGAACAGAAUUUACAACAAUACUAGAAAAUUGUCUAAUUCCAUCCUUUUUUGUAGCUUUAAAAACACGAGAAAAUCUUACUACGAAAUUCAGCCAAUGGUCCCAUCCCCCUGGCAUCCAUAAUCUUCCUACUCUAUUUACCAACGAAAAAACUUCUAAUACUUACCAAUAAUCAGUUCCCAAAAACAAAAAUAAAAUCCUUCAAAAGAAGCAAACUAGAACAGUCCAAGUCAUAUUACUUACCAAGGCUCACCACAUAGGUUGAAUUGCACAGUCACUUCUCGUACAAAUCUUUGUUGUCGUAGUGCAUUCUAGAGAGAGAGAGAGAGAGAGAGAGAGAGAGAGAGAGAGAGAAAGGGGUGGAGGGGAGAAGGGGAGAGGUAAAGAAAUAAAAAAAGUUAGUUAAAAAUAAUACAAAAAAAGGUAUACAAUAGCAGCGUCCUUAGUAAACCAAACAUAAUAUGCAUAUUUGACAUUUGCAAUCUGUUAGAUACUACUCAGCAAGCUUACAACGCUCCUUGAGCACAUCUCUCGUGUCUUUUGAAAUUUAGAAGGGCUAAUCCAUCUAUUCAGAACACUUAGAAAACCCGUAUCUUACAAGAACUUAAGACAUCUAAUGCUCUUAAAGAAUACUCCUUCCUCUGGAAAAAAAGAAUGAAUAGAUAAGAACGAAAGCAAAACCAAUGGAAUGAAAAUGAAAAAGAAGAUAAAGAAAGAUGAGAUAAGAAGAAAAAUUUUCCUGCCUAAUCAAUUAGUAUUUGAUAGCUAUUAGCCGCUAUAACACAGCUCCAGUAAUCAGAAGUGGACUAUUUAUGUUUGCCACUGCAAAUGCGCAAGUCGCGCAAGUCCGCCCCAAGACACUAAAAAGCUUGCAGUUACAGCUCCCACCAUCCCCUCCCUCCCCAUCACAAAAAUGAAAAUUGAACAUUCUCGUAAGAUGAUGAAAUCACAUAAACAAAGAAACAUAGCAGCUGUCAAAAGUUCACCCAAAAAAGGGAAAAUCAACAUUUUCAAACAUAUAUUUGACCUCAACCAUAACAAUAUGACCACCAAAUCCCAUUUAAAUGAAAAAAUUGUGAACUACCAUGACUAAGAACAUAGCAGAUCUAAGGCAUGAUGCUCUAGGGCAGCUCUUUAGUUGAAACCAAAGUAGGGAGGAAUACCAGAAUAAAUACAGCAGCUUAUUGAGAUCCACAGGCAACAACAAAACCAAUAUAGAACAAGCGAAAAAAGAAAAUAAGUCCUGGAACUAUUAAACUCCCAAAUAAAGUUAUCUGCAUUGUCUUUAGCAUCUUACAGGGAGCAUCUUUUGUAAAUCUUUCAGAAGAAUUAUUGUUCAAGGUUGUGUUUGUUUUUCCCAGAAGCAUCAAAUAAAGUUUAAAGUUCUUAAAAUGUAAUGACAACAAUGCUAGGAAAGAUGAUGCAAAAAUCAGGAAGGUGGAAAGCAAAUGUUCACACAGAAAGAGUUUAAUCUGAGUUUUGAAUAAGUACCGAAGCUGCAGCCCUGGUAGUCAUGGUGCGCUCAACAGCAACUGGGGCAAGAGUAGGCUCCAUAGAAGAUGAAUGUGUAAGACAUGGCUGUACAUCAAAAACUGCCCCUCCUUUCUGAAGCACAUGUAAGGUGGACGAAACAUUAAACUGUGCCCCAGCAAAUAAAACUUGCCUGCUCUCUCAGCCCAUAGAAUAAACCAAUGAAAUAUAGAUCUUACCAAGUCAUUUAUUGUUAGCAAGCAAUUAACAACCACAAAGUUGACAACUAAAAUUGCUAGAGAAUGACAGGGACAAAAGAUUCAUACAAUGCAACUUCUAAAGUUGAGAUAACAUAGUAGUAAGUGUUGCAGAUAAAGAAAGGAAAGCAUAGGAGAAAUGAAAAAAUGAAGAAUGUAAGAACUCGAACCUUCACGACACAACAACGCUCAACACGGUAACUGCAGCCAAUGGCAGCUCCCCAAGAACGCGAUCUAACAUUGUUUCUCAGCAUUGAAAGAUAGCCUUUAACAUAAUUCAGUUGCGAAUUAGACAUAUAUCGACUGAUGUAUAUAUAAACUAAUAUGAUUGCAAAUAUUAUAUAUAUAACGUCAACCACUAGGAUCGCAAAUUGUGACUGUUGAGUACUCUAUAACAUGACAUAAAUUAGCAAUAAGUUUUUUCAAGACAGUAAGCACUCAUAUGAUGCAAAUUUUAAUCUAAACUAGCUUUGCAAGCACUCAACACCAGAAACAGUAGAUAUCAAGUUUCAUGCUGACUUACAGUCUUGUGGAGGUAAUACUCUGAUAGUGACACGUAACUCCUGAAUUGUAGCUUCAAGGGGUGAUGCAGUCGGACGACAAUAGCCAGUGUGCAUAAGAACUAGAGAGAAAGGAGCAUAUCAUGCAAUUCAUAAUUCCCAGAAUGGUCAUCAGAAUAUCAAAACACAAAUAAAAUACAAAACCACUUACCAGCAACAAGAUCCGAAUCAUCAGUAUAUAUGUCUGUCCCCCACAGCUGGCCACCUCUUACCUACGCAUAUGUAGUGCCAAGAAGAUUAAAUGAGUGUCCAAUUUGAUGCAAGCAAGUAGUGAUCACAAAAAAUCAGACAGGAGAGAUGGCGAUCUCACAAAGAAAGUGAAAUUAGAUUAAUCUGACAGGAGAGAUGGCGAUCUCACAAAGAAAGUGAAAUUAGAUUAAUCUGAUUGAUGAAAAGAAAAUAAGAGUAAAAUCAAUUAAUUCACAUUUAUUUGUAUACAUUCCGAUAUGUUACACACUUUCCCUAAAGGUGACUUAAUUCUUACAGUUCAUGAUAUUAAUACCCAAUUUAUCUUUUUUCAUUCUUUGAGAUCUCCUACUAUCAAAUUGACAUGAAUAUUAUCAUUUUUGGUUUCAUAACAUUUUUCAUACAAUAAUGGAAACCAUGUUAGUUAAGGGCACUUCUUAUCAUGUCCAGAAGUCAAUCUCCAACAUUAUAGUCAGAAUGCUGCCAGCGAAGUGGUUCCAAGGAGCAAAAGCAAUCCUAUUCAGUCCAAUGGCUAUCGAAACUCCAUGCUGCAUAAAGUCUACAAAGUUCAACCAAUUAAGAGCUUAACCUAACCAGAAGGUUCUUCCAAGGGAACCAAAUGUGUUCCCUGAUUCUUUUUGAUAUGUUCAAAGGAGCUUCCAGUAUCACAAGCUCAGAAAAAAAGUAGAUCUUGUGAAGGCACUUAAAAUACUUGAUAUAACUCAGUGACAGAAAAGUGCCAUACCAAUACUGUGAUACCUAGUUUAAAAUAUCACCAGCAACAAGUACCUUACACUCUAGGCAAUCAAUUUGAUAACAUAAUGUCUCGUAAAGUGGUGAAAAAAAAUAAAACAAAGCAAAACAAAACAAAAGCAAACAUCCUGGAGCUGAACAAAGGUCCUUGCUGGUGAUUUGUACAAAUAAAUUGUCCAGUUAGCAGGAACAAAAAAAAAAAAAAAGAGAGAGAGGGAGAGCGACGGAUACAGAGAAGAUUCGAUGGCUUUAGAACCAAGCAAAGGGCAGAAAUGCUGCCAGAGAAGAUCACCAGAAUUCAUAACUAAGGGGGUGCUUGGUUCAUGUUUUGGAAUUGGUAUUGGAGAUGGAAUGAUAUACAAAAAAUUAGUAUGGGUUUGAACCCCUGGUAUUAUUCCAUGGACUAGUGCUUGGUAUAAAUAUAGUUGGAAUGGUAUCAAAAUUAAUUUUUUAUUUUCUAAUUAUUGUUCUUGGAUUGAUAAUCACGCCCACCAUCAAAUCACUACCAAUCCAAAUCUUUUUUGUUUUUUGUUCAACAAUUAUCAACAAAAACUCAUGACUAAUCAAUAAAAGAUUUGAACGAUUUGAGGAGAACGAUUGCAAUGAGGAGGACGAUUUGAUGGCAAGGGAGGAGAAGAAAGGGUCUACUGGGGUGAGGGGGGAGUGACCGGCCGUGGGAGAAGAAGAGAGAUUUUGUCAGAUGCUAUGGAAAAGGAAAAAAAUCGGUGACCUCCAACUGGUCUUGGUCCCACCCACUAAGGCUGGACUUGAAGACAUCAAUGGGUCCUUUGCCAAGCUUGUAGAGGUGGACCUUGACCUCGGGCACCUUCAUUCUAACCGAACGGAUCUUACGGGGAGAAUUCAGAUAAUAACGGUGAUGACUCGUCGGCGUUUGCUGGUGCUGCUUCCUCUUCGAUUUCUUCCAUUUGAAUCUAUUUUUCUGCCGGCAAGCCCAUGUGGGUGUUGUCAAAUGCUGAUAAAGAGGGAAAAAUAAGAAAAAAGGGAGGAGUUGCCAGAUGCCAUGGGGGAGAGAGAGGUGUUGAAGGCAGCGAGGAAGGGGAGGUUCGAUGGUGGAAGUCUGGGAGAGGGAGAAAGAAAGUAUUUUAACAAAAUAUUUUGUCUUUUAUUUAUUCACUGUUGGAAAUGAGUUGAGGGUUUUGAGUGAUUCCUUCCAAUAUAGUCAGGAAUCAUAAAUUGGACAUAAUUCCAAUAUUUCAAUUGCCAUUCCAGUGUACCAAGCACUAAGUAUUGGAAUUGUCAUCAUUCCACGUGACAACAUGGAUAUUUUUGGAAAAAUGCAUUUUGUAAAGUAAACUACAAUUGCAACAACUUUUGCUCCAAGAUGCCAGCUAUUCCUCAUGGUGCUAUUUAUGAAACCCAACUAACAAUAGAUCUCUUCUAAUUAAAAGUUUAACCUAGCCAAUCGUAAACAUGUGUUAUCCAGUCUUUCAUUUUUUGUCCACAGAAAAUUUUGGCCAAAUGAAGAAAUACAUUUUCAUCAUCUGUUUUAGUUCCUCAACUACAGCCAUUCAUUUUGGAGCAUACACCUCAAACUUGGAUUAUAACACCUACUUGACCCAAAAGCAGGGUGGAAAACAACUCAAAGAAUCACCUGGCGGUUUGCUGCAGAAACAUGCUCAGCUGGUAUCCGAAUAUCUAGAGUAGGACCAUUUGAAGAACUUUCAGACAUCUUAUCUGCUUGAGAUGCUUCAUAUUCUUUCCAUACUUUAGUUAGCUCUUGCAUGGAUUCACCAACUUUAUAAACAAUGGUGGACACAUCAGGUUUACCUGCCAUUAAAACAACAUUAACGUACAAAUUGUGAUACAGAAGAUGAUAAAAAAUCUAAACCCAAUGAUUGAGUAAUUUACACAGAGAAUAACAUGAAAGUGAACAAAGCCUUUCACAAUGUACUGAAUGUACUCGAAUAACUCAGAAGGUCCAAUUAAAAACAAAUGAGGAUCAAAAGCACCUUAAAAUCUUUAAAAGUCUUUGCCAAACAUGUUUCUGAAAGAGUCUAAAGAUGCUCAGGUAGUCUUCACAUGAAUUGGAAGAUGGAAAAAGAGGAAAUUAAUAUUGUCAAAGGCCCUUAAUGCAUUACCAAGUACAAAUGCAGAAGCGCCAUACCAAAUGAAACCUAGUACAGCCAAAGUUCCUGACUGUUUUUCUGAGUAGAUAUAAAGAAGCAAGGUAUCACCUUUUUAAGCAUGCCAUGAACUGCUCAGGAAGUCUUUUCGUGAAUUUGGAAGAUGGAAAAAGAGGAAACUAAUAUUGUCAAAGGUCCUUAAUGUACUAUCAAUUCCAAAUGAAGAAGCAUCACACAAAAGGGAACCUAAUAUGGUAAAAGGUCCUGAACUACCGAGGAAAGAUGAAGCAGCAUGGUAACACAUUUGUAAGCAAGCCAUGAAAUGUAUUAAUAUCAUCAGCAUUCUGAUAACCCAAUAAUCUGUCAAAGUGUAUUUUAUAAUAUGCAAGAUGGGAUCUUAGACGAAAUCACACUGCCAGUUUGUCACCAGGGAACUUACUGGUUCACCCCUCUCUGCUUCCAGGAGGGGAAAGUCUUGAACCAUUAGACUCUAACAAAAAUUAAUAAUUACCCCCAUCAUACACAUGAUGCAACCAUAACAUUCUCAAGAGUUAAACAUGAAAAGAAUGGAGCAGAGAUACUCCCUCCAACCAAACUUCAAUGUCCUUAACUUCCAGGUUUGGGAAGUAACAACUCUUUCUGAUCUUUUCCCCCUUUCAUUUUCAGAAUUUGCUUCCACAUGGUAAUCUAUAUCAGUAAUUUCACAGAUCUGUUUCACUUGGAAUUUUGUUAUUUCUUCAACUGAUUUUUUCACAACUUAAAAACACAGAAAAUCACUACUCCAAACAAUCCACAAGUCUGACAGGGAACAAUUCAAAGAAAGCAUUCGAGAUGAACCAUUCUAGAAAGCCUGAAAAUAAGUUUGAAAAGUAAAUUUUACUAUUGUUCAAUAUAAAUCUUGUUAAUUUACUUGCUAGGAAACAAAUAUCGAAGCAUAUUCUGAAUAGUUAAGAACUGGGACACUUGUAAGAAAUGGGAUGAGUUGCAAUUUUAUACUUCCCUCGUGACUUAUAAUUUCUGGAGCCAUUUUCUACCAAAGGUCAUAAAGUAUGAUCUCAGAACUCUGUUAAAGCAAGUCAAAAGUCUAAAAAUAAAACAUUGGCUUUAUCACAAAUUGCUGUUCAACAUAGAAGAAAUAUUGAUGCUGCUUAGGAGUAGAACAUAUGCAUGAAAACUAGCUCCUUAGCAGCACUAACUGCACUGAGUCUGUGACAAUAUGGAUGCUCAUAAUGGAUGAGGAUUCACAAAAGCAAGGCACUGAUGAUGCAACGAGGAGAGAGCUGAGUGAACAACCUGAAUUACAGACUGGCACACAUUACAAGUGUGUGCACAGGUGCAUAUAUGUGUGUGGUUGUGUGUGUGUGUGAGAGACAGAGAGAGGGGGGUGCUUCCAUGAGAGGCUAUAACAGCAGAACAAAAUGUCAAUCAAAUCUUGAUUAAACUAGUCAAACCAUAUCGGGCAUAAUCCAAUUCUAACAUCUUAAGCCAGGAGGGGCACACAUCAAGUGUAACUUUCUGUCUAUGCAACACAAUAGAAUUUUUCAUGUAGAAUAUCAAUGCAGACUUUUUACGAGGCAAAGCAAGUUUUUGUAACCUUUUCAUAUAACUAAUUCAGUAGCCCAACAUCAGCAAUCUAAUGCAUAAGAAAUUUCCUACACAGCAUCACGGAAUAAAUGAUUCACAGAGUAAAGCAUGCAUUAAAUUCAAGCUGAAAAUAUAUCCGAGUAUGGAGCACUUCUGUUCUGCAUGUCCCACACUGUGUCCCAUGCCACAGUUCAAAUGUUCUAUGUUUUGUGUAGCCAUCGAAGGGUCUGAAAGCAUAUGAAAAAGAGUACAGAUGAAAGAAGAAAAAAAUCAUGCCAACAUUAAUAUGCACAUACUCCCCUUCUAUGAAUCAACUUCAUAAUUCUCUGUUGCAUGAAUUAACAUAACAGCUUACCUUGAGACCUGCGAAAAAAAUAACGGGCAAAAGGCAGUAAGUAACCUAUAGCUUUGAACCUAUCCAAGAAUUUGUAACAUUGUACGAGUAAACUCAAAGUCUCCUUUUCACAUGAGCAUGCAAACUACUAUGCAGUAGAUGGUAGACCGCUCAAUACAUAAAAUUCGCCAUCAGUAUUAAUGAUAAAUGCAAUUCCAUAACUCCAUUAACAUCAUAUCAUCAUCACAGAAAUAGUCAUUUGUCGCAACAUUAACCUUUACUCAUGAGCUGACUUGUCAAGUGUUUCUAUCAUGCCAGUAACUAAUUGACCAUAGAAUCAUAUAAAAUACAAUUUUUCAUUCCUUGGUACGAACUUACUGUUGAUAAAGUGGACCUCAUUUAAGGUGGCACUGUGCUACCUUUCUGCAAUUUAACAACUAAAGUCAUGCUCAAAAUUUCGAAACAGGGGUUUUUUCUUCUAGUUUCAAUAUUCAAUGGAAGGUCCUGAGAAGCUUUAUCGUAGGCGGUAAAUAUAAUUCUUCAAACAGUUAAUAGAGGUUAUAACAAUCGAUAGGUAAUUAUUCGGCCUAGAAAUUAUAACAGAAUAUGUUAGAAGCAGGUAAGGAAGUGCAUGCAAAAACCAAAGGUUACAAAGGUUAAUACUUUUAGUCUACCUAUGCCUUUCAAACAAAAUCACUACCUCAAUAUCAUAUAUACCACCACUUAACAAACUUUUCCCUCAGCUCAUCUAUAUCAGCAGUUUUUUCAUCAAGACCUUGUGGGAGAUGGCAUUUAUUUGAUUUGACAAAAUGGUACACACAUAAUGGACACCCUCUAGGAGACUAAAAGGUAUCAGUAGAUCAAGUAGGCAAGCCAAACUUGGGCCAUAUUGAGUACAAGGCAACAUUAAGUGUACUAGCCCUCCUACACUACAGCACCGAAUAAAAAGAAACACACAGAAAGUCAUUCUUUUGGGGACACGUAAAAGAGUUCAACAAACUAAAACACAACUAAUUGACACUUUUACUCAAAUUCAUGGAAAACUGAAGUCAUUGAUAUAAGAUUUCCAAAGAAUAGCCACACCACAAAUAGAUGAAUAUACUAUAUAUGCCUCAAAUGGACAUACCUCAAGUGCAAUAACUUCUAAUUGCAUGUCAAAAUAGCUAACAGCCAGAUCAGUAGUAAAUAUUACUCAAAUUUCCACCAAAUUUGACCAUGAUAAAUGUAAGCCUUGUUAUCAGCUCUGUACAGCAAUAAAAGAAAGUAUUCCACAGAAAUACCAUAACCAUAUUUCUUUUUCUUUUUUUUUUUUUUUGGUCACUAUGGGAUUAAAAGUACUCCUACACAAGAAGAAAACAUGUACAAAACUUAACCAAAUUCAUCUUGUUAAAAGAGCAAGGCACAUCUAGUCUUAUGAUCAAGUGUACUAAUCGGCAAGCAACAUGGUAAGAGGUUCUAUCUUAUAUAAUACUAUCAAAUAUCGGUGUCAUAUUCAUACUAUUACAUGCACAUAAGGAUCUUGAAAGCAAUAUCAAAAGAAAUCUUCACAAGCCCUGAAACUUUUACAUGUAACUUUAAUUGGAGACUCUAGAUCCAUACUCACCCAUUAAACCCACACCCUUCCUACUCUAGGUCCAUACUCACCCAUCAACCCUUCCAAGCAUUAAAACUUGUAACUUUAGCACUAUAUACUAGUACAAGGUAAGGAUAUAGGAUAAAUAUGCAUUGAUUUUAACUCGCCCAACUUUAUCUCCCCCUUAAAUAGGAAAAUGACCAGAGAAUAUCAAAGCACCAGAUUUUCAAAUUAAUCAAGCAUAUGGUAAGCACAGCUAAGCUUCUAUUUAAUAGCUAUAACGAUACGAUUCUCGAUAUGCCAAGACGAAUCAAGAACGUGAACCACAAGCCCUGGACCUAGGUUAAGGUAUAACGUUCGGGGAUGGAAUUCAUAAUCAAUCAAGGACUGCGCGAGAUUGAUUAGAACGGGAAGAAUGACACCACAAUCAAGGUGAUUACUUGAUUGAUAAGUCGGCGAAUCACCUUAGGCCUACUCUAAGAUGUUCAAAAGGCAGUCCAAAUCAAUCUGCUGUCUCUAAGAUGUAUUUAGGACAAAAAGCAAGAUGGUUCGAUUACGUUCAAAGACAAAUUAGGAAAAAGUAUCCUAAAUUCCACAUUCGUCAAGGAUUUGUGCCAAGAUCAGAUGCUCAGAAAAGUCAAACAAAUUUAUAAAUGUAGAUCAACACACAUACAGAUGCAAAACCUAACUCUACCUGUGCCGUACAACUUGAACCACAGCAAAAUUGAGAAAAUUAACUUACUUUUGCAUCCCGGUGACAAGAGAAACGAGGAGUAGAUCAGUGAGAUCUGUUCUAGAUGGAGGAUCUUUUGGAGGACUAAUAUGCCUACCGAGGGUCAUGUUUAGAAAUAGGUCAGGUUCAGGAUCAACCAGGGAACUAGAAGGGUAUUUCUUGAUUUAAACUAGAAGAGCAUAUCUCGAUUUAUAACAUAGAAUGUAACGCUUGCUCUUUCUAAUAUUGCCAUGUGGCUAACAGAGUUUCUAUAUCAAUUCACUGCCGUUGAUUCUGCACAAAAUUAGCUGACCUUGAUAAAUGCCAAAUGGCUCAUGCCUAUAUACACUAUAGCACUUCAAGUCACAGAAAAAGGAAAAUAGGGGUCUAAUAGGGUCAAGUAAUUGCAAUACAAAUUACUUCAAACCUAUACGAUCAAAUUCGUAGACAAGCACUUAGAUGGUUACUCUUAUGGAUUUCAAACCUUCAGCAAAAUGCACUAUGCAUACAAUACUGAAACUAAUGGAGUUGAAAUGUAUUGUAAACUGGUGUGUGUCUCAGAUUAAUUACACUCUUGCCUAACAUUGAGAUGAUGAGGGUAAAAAAUCGAGCAUAUUGUUUUCCUGCCCAAACAAAAUAAGAUCCUAACGACUUCAUAUUUAAGGAUUUCAUAUUAAUAACGUUUUUUCCUUCAAUCCUUGAGCAUAUUCCAUAAACUUCACAUGCUUAUAUAGUGCAUUUACCCAAUCCCAAGCUGCAGUAACACAGGAAACCUUUAUAUAAAAUCUAUCAUAUAAUUGAAACAGAUGUCAGGGGCUAUUCUUUUUUGCUUGAUGUUAUUUAGUCACAUUUAAAAGGCUGUCCUCACUCAAAAUAAGCUCAUUGUAGCUUAAAAACUCUUUUGAGGCAUCCCAGUGCUUUUCACUUUUAUUCUUAGCUUACAUUAGCUAAAAUAAUCCAAGCUCUCAAGCACCCUUUGAUUUUCUUUUGCAUAAUAGCUUUAGCCUUUCAAGCUGUUCUAACAAACAAAUCCUUGGAAUUGUUUAAAGAGUCUUUCAAGACAUAAUUUCUGACCAACUUUUAGAAAAGCUAAAGAAAACUAUAGAGGCCCAUGGGCUCUAUCUAGAUUACAGAGGAAAUGAUAGCUAUGUGAUGGGAUAAAUGUUCUCACACCAUGCUCAAACCCAAUCAAUAAUGCUAGGCAGGCCAGUCAAAUGGAUUAAAAAACUCAAUCAAUGAAUGAGUCCAGUUCGUCAUAUCCCGAGCCUGCCACAACCAAGUAUGAUUAAUUUGGCUUUGGAAUGAAAGAGCAUUGCAAAGUUACAAUCUAUACCACAUGAAAUUUGACAAUACCAUGCAUUCUACAAUAGAAAAAGCUACAUUUAAAAGUUUGUAUAUCAUAAAAAUAUUUUACUUAUGGUUAACAUAGAAUUAAAUUUUAAACGUUUUUAUACAAUCAAUGACUACUAGGAACUUUCUUAGUGAGAUAAUCAACUUUGAAUUAAAACCCAAUGUCACUGAGAUUUCUGAAAUUCUUUUUCUGAUUUGUUUUGUCUAAUUUGGUCAAGUUAAAAUGAGUUAUUAAAUGACUGAGAUUUUAUUUUGAAGUUGUUUUCCUUUAUUAGAAUUUAAGUAGACAUGUGACAGUACAAUUUCUGAUAUUGGCCAUUUAUUAUGUUCUUCAAUAGAAAUCUUGUUUCCACAAGAGUUUUUUUUUAGCAACUAUAGUUACAAAAAUUCUUUCUAAAGCCAUUUUCUUCUUGUGAAAAAUUUUAGUUGCAAUAUAAUGCAACAAAACCAAGCUUUCAAAAUGCAAUAUAUUUACCUUAGCGUAACUAUAGUUUGCGAUAGAUAAGUAAACCAAUGACAAAGUUGGUGUGUACCUGUAACACAAUCCACUGUUGUGCUAUUUGGUAUCAAGAAGCUAUUUUGAGGCCCUUUCUGAAAUGUCACUUGUCCACAAUGAUUUUAACAUGCUAACUGCUGACAGAAAAAAAUACCGCUUGCUAGACACACAAGAUGAAACUAUUAUGAACAGAUUGAAAGGGCGAAAGAGGUGAGCAAUCCUCUUUUUGAUACUUAAAUGUCACACUCACUCAACUUAUUCUGAUUUUCUUUCUUUUAAGCAGUCAUAUACCAUUUCUUUUAGUCUUCAUAAAAAAUGGCAAUUCCUUUUCGAAAUUCUAUUAUGUGGUUCACGGGAUAAUGAACCUAAUAAUUGCAAGCUCAUCUAUAUGGCAUUUUGAAUAUGGAAUUAUAAGUAUAAUGUAGGAGACAUGCAUGAUCGAUAUGCAAACAUGCUUGAUAUCUCCAUUUCAUUACGUACUUUUUCUGGCAUAUAGUGUUUAAUCUAAACACCAGUUCAGAUAUGACAGUUCAGAUAUGACCGAGAUAACGCACGAGUGCAUGCGAAAGAUCUUCCCUUGCACUCUUUUAUCCCUUCGAAAUCUUCAACCAUUAUCAUGUUUUUUCUUGAAAACUUUAUCUAAUCUAUUGGAUAGCAACGAGCCCUCAGCUUUUUGAAUUCAAUAAGUGAAUAAACAGGCGUUGUUUCUUUUAACUACUAUGUUAAGAUAGUCAAGUUAUUGGCUAGUGGAAAAUGAAAGACUUAGAGCAUUUGUGUAAGAAUGCCGGUGAGAGAGAGAGAGAGAGAGAGAGAGAGAGAGAGAGGGAGAGAGCAUCAAGAAGAAGAAACCAGACCAAAUAUCUAAUGAGAAUCAGUAUUGAACAAUACUAAUAUUCAUCUCAAAAAUUCACAAAAACUACUGCACCUUUUGCCUUUUAUGUUAAAUAAACAUAUAAGAUCGGGUUCUCCUAAAUCCAGAUAUAAAGAUGUCAAAACAGUUCAAAAGGGCAUUAAAAUUAGAUCUUUCAUAAAAUCCUGAAACUUCAGUAUUUCUAGCUUCCCAAGACACUUGGAGAAACUUCCAGGAAGGAACCACAUUAAAAUGCAUUUCCCUCUGAAUAACAUCCUUCCUCCCGAGUCAUCAAUACAAAGAUCAAGAAAAACCAGAUCUACCAAGAAAGAUCUUGUUCUUCUUUAGCAGCUAAAUACUUACAACAGAUCAAAGUACACCCUUAUAUUCGACUAUGAGACAUGGUAAAUUAGGCAUGCAAUCUUUGUAACUUAUUUUUAAAAAUUCAAAUAAAAAGGAAUAAAUUAAACAACCUUGACAAUUAGCAUUUAGCUACAAUUAAAAGAUUGUUGAUACGCAAAUUAUUAAAAGUGAGAGUAAUAACCAAAACAAGGGGAAAAAGACACUUCCACAAGUCAAGACCUGAAGUAUCAAAUUAUCUCGAAAAAUGCAUCUAAAGAAAUAAAGCAUGGGAUAUUGCCAUCUCCAAGAAAAUAAUAGGCAACCACACAACUUUUGAAAUCCAUACCCUUCAUUAUCUUGAUUGCGCGACCUAAAACGAGGAUCACGAUGAGUACGUUGAGGACUGCCCCUUGGCCUAAGCAUCCUCUUACGCUGCUGAACUCCAUAAUUAAAAACUUCUCUCUCCCUUUCUGCACCCCCUUCAGCUUCACCACAUACUUCAUCUGACUCCUUGUCAUGAUUCUUAUUGCGUUUCUCAUAUCUUUCACCUUCCUCCUCUGCAUCUCUUUCCUUUUUCCUCUCUCUAAUAUCCCUGUCAACAUUUUUCCAACUAUCAGUGUCCUUUUGUUUCUUUAAUUCUGAGGUUGGAUUCUCUAGCUCUGCAGCUCUGCUGGGGACAUCUACCAUUUCCUUAUCAUUGUGAGGACUUUCUUUUUCAGCUCCAUUCCCUGAUUCCUUUUUCAUAAAAUCCUUUUCUCUUUCUUUUACUUUCUCCUUUUCUCUCAAAAGAUCUUUCCUCUCCUUGUCCAACCUCUCAGCUUCUCUCUCUUCCCGCAUUGGCUCCUUGUUUUCACUAUUGCUAUUGCUGCACAACUGCAAAGCGUUUCGCAGGUCAUUUCUUUCUUUAUCCCUUUCUCCCC